rnacentral:lncRNA from 1 species
AGAAAGAGGACCCAAAAAGAGAGAGAGAGAGAGAGACUCUACCAUACUCAAUUCCUUGCUCAUUCUGAUUUGGCCUGAAUGUUGGCAUUGACUAUUAUUUGUUUUCAUUUCGAUUUAAUUCUCAUUUAGACAGUCUUUACUAACGGUCAAUAAUAGUUUAAGGAAAAUGAUAAUAGGGAUUCUGCAAUAAUCUUUUUAAGGAAAAUGAUAAUAGGGAUUCUGCAAUAAUCUUUUUAAGGGAUGUAUAACUUAUUAAUCAGAGUCCUGUUAUUAUGGUUUGACACUACUGACAUAUUGUGUUGGUAUUUAUUUGUACUUCCCUUGGUUGAAUUAUUUGCUGUCCCCAUGCCAUUCGAUAUGGUGCUACUUGGUUUUUGAUCAUCCAUGACGCUAUAUAUAUGUAAAGGAUGAAUUGAUUGUUUUGGCUUGUAUUCUCACAUUUUAUGAUUGAUCGAUGGAAAGGUCUUCAUGUAUUAAAUUCAACCUCACAAGCGUAAGAUUGACAGAUUCUGGGCAAAUUUUCAGGAAAAGAAACUAGACUUCAUGGAAGCAAUGAAGCUUGAAAUUGAACGUCUGCAGCUGAAAGGGAUAGAGCUUUAUUGUCAAUUGGAACUGAUCCUGCCUCUAUAAAUCCAAAUGUAUUGCUUGAUGAAUCUUACAUGGGAAGACUGUCGAGUAGCAACCACUCUUGCAUUACUUGGCCAAACUUCCCUAGAAGACAAAAUUGUUGGUGCAAUGGCCUUGAGAAUAGUGAUGAUAGUGUUUUAGACUUCUGGAAUAUUACUAGAAUCGGAGAGAGUUGUUCUGGUGGCGCGUGCAAGGUUCGUGCAGAAACUAAGGUGCCUGCUCUUGCUUCCUCAACUGCAGCAUCUGUUGGAGCUUCACAAUCCCCUUUGUUGUGUUCUCUGUUGUGUUCUCUGUUGUGUUCUCAAUGUGAAAGAAAAGUUUGCAAAGUUUGUUGUGCAGGAAGAGGAGCUCUACUGUUUUCAAAUUAUAAAUCAAGGGAUGUGACCAACUACAAUGGCUUCUCAAGUCAGAGUGGAUCAAGCCAUGGAAGCCAAGUUGAUGUAUCUACCAGUCGUUCACUAACACUGGAUGGCGUUAUCUGUAAACACUGCUGCCAUGAGAUUGUGCUUGAUACAAGUUCACAACACCAUUACAAAGGAUUCAAAAUUCCCACACGAAAACAUCAAUGUACAGAUUAUAAACAAUCCGAAUUGGACACAAGAAAAACCCUUCAAUGGAUUGCUUGCCUUCCCAAUGCUAUAUACUGUGCAAACUGCGCACUGUCCAAGAAAAUGUUUUCAAUUUAGUGUAUUUUCAAAAUGCUUAUUUUCUCAGAAUAUAUAAAAAAAAAAAAAGAAUUCUUACAUGUUUCAUCAGCAUGAUUAAAAUCAAAGAAGAAAGCGAGACAUAAUGUCUCUGACAUAAUAAAAUUACAAAAAUUUAAAAAAAAAAAAGUUAAAACAUGUAAUCUUCAUAAGCAUAUAAUAAAAUAACACUUCCACAAAUUACUACAAUUUCAUGCAGUAGAGAUUGAAGAGUUGAAUUCCACUUAUAGACACCGACCUCUUAUUUUGUCUAAUGUUAACAAUGAAAAUAACAACAGUAAUGAAAACAACAACAGAAUACAACAACAGAAAACAACAAUCCGCUCUGCAAAUUCUCUUGGGACUUGGUUCCAAUUCCUCUUCAUCCGAAGUUCCACUCGAAUCAAAUUCACUUGCAGCAGUUCCACUCGCGCUUGGCAAAUCAUCCAAUUUCCAAACUUCGGUAGCAAAAUUGAGAGUAAAAGUGUUGGCUUUGGUCUCGCUGGGAUUUGCAUAUACUGGACAUACUCCGUAACGUUUUACCUUGUGACCCUUUUGGUUUUGGUAACAAUUAUUGAAGAACUUAAGUGAGACAGUUGUAUGAUGGUAACCAUCAGGAAAGCCAACAUUCAAGCAAGGUUUAAAACCAAGUAUGACAUGAUCUGAAUCAAGGGAGUAUUUAUUUCUAACACUUGUGGUUGCGGGCCCACUGAAACCUAGAUCAACAUGUUUGGUUUCAGAGAGAGUCUUUAUUUCUAAGUCGAGUUGAGAGCGGCCGAAAACAUUGCAGCAAUAACAAGAACCAACUUUCUUAAAAUUAAGAACCGCACAAAAAGCAAACCCGAUUAAGUUUCUGCAAGAAGAGUGCGGUGGCAGUUGAAUACCUAUCGAAGAUCCUGAACUUUGAUUGUUGAACCAGUCAGGAAUUUCGCUCCCAGGUAAAACAAUUAGGGAUGUCCUGAGUUCAGAAAGUUUCUGUGAAAUGACAUUUAAAAAAAGAAAAUUGUAAAAUGAAAACCAUGAUUUCAGAUAUAACAAAGAGGGACAGAGUAAACAAGAGAGGGAACUUGAUGCGUUCUAAAUGUUCCAUUUUCUCCAAGAUUUCUGGGAAACGCUCAAGGUUCAAGCAGCCAUGAAGAAAAAGCUCAACCAAAGAUUUCAAUUUACAAAACCUAGUUGAAAUCCUCUUCAGCCGUUCGCAAUCCCUCAAAUCCAACUUUUCAAGAUCAGUUAGGCACUCUAUUGAUGAUGGAACUUCUUCUAUUGCAGACUGGCUUAAGUAUAGCCGUGUAAUUUUCCCAGAAAUCUGUGGAAACUCUACGAGAUUAACACAAUAGGAGAAAUUAAUAGUUACUGGACAAACAAAAUGAAGAUUGCUUGGAAAAGACCUAAGACUUUUGCAGCCCACAAAAUCCAACCUACUGAGAUACUUGAAAUUCUGGAUAGAUGAGGGAACACAAGCCAUUUCUCCUUCCCAAAUUUGCUCAACUUUACUAAAACGCAAAUUCAGUCCAACAAGGUUCUUUGGCUUGAAAUUUGAUGGCAGUGUCCUUAAUGGAUAUGUGUCCCAAUGAAGAUAUCUCAAUUUUUUAGGAAGAUAAUCUAGGCCAUUUGGAAGCUGCACUUUAGAGUACGAAAGUUGCUCUUCAAUGCUCAUACUUAGAAGCUUUUCAAUCUCAUACUUAGGUACAUAAAAUUUGAGCAAUCUCAGAUUAGACAUAUUUGUGAAGGCUCCGGGGUCUAAAUUGAUGCCUUUUAUUUUGGACAAAUCCAAAAAUAUGCCUUCAAUUGCAUCGGUCCCCUUAUUAAAAAAAAAAAAAAAACAAAGAAUGGGUAAGCCUAAAACAGAAAAGAAACAUUCGUAAACUUUAUUAACUAAGAGCUCCUAAAACAAAACAAAUUCUACGAUCUUUGAUCUUAUUUUUUUAAUAUAUUAAAUAUCUAUAUGCGAGAAAAGAAAAUUUUGGGAACCAUUGCAAAAUUAAACUAACCGAAAAAAAAAAUCAAAAUUUCUCUAAUUUACAAACCUGUUAUCUUACUAUCUAGAAGUUGAGAAGACAGGGCCUAUUUGAUUGGUAUAAGAUUUCGAUUUUUUUUUUAGUCCAUAGAAUCCAAAAUGUUAGUUCAAAAUUAGGGAAAAAAAUGAAAGUUAUUUUUUUUCCACUAGUUGUAAUUGUAUCCAAGUCAAAUUGAGAUAUGACCCUUUUCGAAAGGAUUUAAUCAUCUUAUAGCCUCCUUAAAGGAGUGAUUGGAGGCCUAACUAGGUAGGCCAAUCAGUCCAUUUUAUUAGCGACUAUUGCUUAAAAACAUUUAUACUCUAAAACACACUUACUUUUUUGAAAAAAAAAUAUAAUUAUAUUGAAGUAGAACCAGGUGGGCCAAUCCUCAUGGCACUCACUUUGUUCUGACACUCUUCACUAAAUUUGAAAAAAAAUAAAAUUAUACUCUUCACACUCUUAUUCAACAUUCCAAAAUUGAUAAAAUCUGGAGUUUUCAUUAAAAAUUUAAAAUUUGAAGACUUGUUCUCUUGACACCCUCAGUCAUUAAUUUUACCUAAUUAUGGUUUUUAUGAUUUUGGUUGUUUUGUUCAUAAAAAUGAUUUUACUAAAGGAUGUUCUGGUAAUAAUAAAAUUUAUAAAAAAAAACAUGGUUGUGCUGGUAUGAUUGGAAAAAUAUGAGUGCAUAACUCCAAACAAAUAAAAGAUAUAUAAAAAAAAAUGGAGGAUUCUUACCAUAUUAUGCUUUAGUACGCGGCGGAUUUCCUUAGGAUCCCACAACCUCUUGCGUUUGCCUGGCUCUUUCUCAGAUUCUUGGCGUCGCCCCAUUUCUUGCAAUAUAUCAUGCAUUUGCAAGCGGUUAUAUGACACUGUUAUGAGUGACUUAUCAACAAGGACAUCCAGUCCAACAGACUCAGAAUCAUCAAGAAUCCUUGCCACAAAAUCUUUAUCCUCUCCCUCAAAGAAACACGCAAUAUCUAGAAAUAUGCUCUGCACCCUGGGCGUUAAUUCAUCAAAACUAAUCUUUAAUUUCUUAUAAAUAGCAUGAAUAUCAGAUUCACAAAUCCGAUUUAAGUCGUGCAAUACUUUUCCCCAAUGGCUUUUCCCCUUGAGGGAGGAACCCAACACUUUAAGAACUAAUGGAUUGCCAUCAGCAUACUUUACAACUCUCCGUGAGUCAGGUUUGAAAUCUUCAGGACAAUGCUUUUCUUUAAAAGCGAAGUUACAAAAAUGCUCGAAAGCCUCAUGAAAAUCCAUUCCAUUAACCCUAUAUAUUUUCUUCUCCUCCACUCCAAAUUUUUCGAGGACUCCUUUAUCCCUAGUGGUUACAACAAUUCUACUUCCUGGAACAAAUUGAUCAAGCUCUCCAAUCAGACCCUCUAAUUGUCCAACUUCAUUCACAUCAUCGAGUACUAUCAACACCUUCAUACGCCGGACCCUCUCUUUAGUAAAAUGUGGAAUAUUGGCACCAGCUACUUCAAGUUUUUCGCUUAAUAUUGUUGAAAGCAUUUCCUUUUGUAGGUCUUCUAGGCCACCCUCUGUUUCUGAUUUUCUCCUAACAUUUUUUGCAAAGUAUUUACCAUCAAACUCACCAGAGAAUUGAUUGAAAAUAGCUUCAGCAAGGGUGGUUUUGCCGAUACCACCCAUGCCCCAAAUUCCAACAAUUUGGACAGUAUCCGACAAAUCCAUACACAAAAAUGGUUUAAUCUGCUCAAUUCGUGAAUUUAAUCCAACUAGGCCGUUGGAUGAGUCCGUUGAGACUGUUAUUUUUUCCAACUUCUUCAAAACAUCUUCGACAAUUUUGUUUACAAGUUCCGCAUCGUGCCUAAUAUAAAGGUGCAAAGAUGCAAAAACAUUGAGUCAAAUCGGGCCAACACAGAAACAGAGAUAAGAUGAAUUAGGAAAGAGAGUUACCUGAAUUUCGUGGAUUCGUGGCCAGCAAGACCGGAUGUUUCUCUCAGUGCAUCCCUCCACCUCUGAACCAUUUCUGGCUUCUCUUUGAACUGUUGUUCGAGCUUACCAAAGCCGACCCCAAAAAUCCCAGUUUGAUGCCGCACAUCGGACGGACUUACGCCAUAGAAAACCGGAAUAAUGAUUUGGCCGUUUGUGUGCUUGCAUUCAAGAAUCUCGACAAGUUCAUACAGGCACCAUUUUGAAGAAGCGUAGUCCGUUGAGAAAAUGACCACCGAAAUUUUUGAACCUUGGAUUGCGUUCAAAAGGGCAGGUGAAAUCUCAUCUCCGCGCCUAAGCUCUUCAUCAUCAAUAAAUGUUCUGAUUUUCUUUCUUUUAGACAAAGCAUCAUAGAGAUGGCAAGUAAAGAUCGCACGAGUGUCCUCCCCUCUAAAAUUGAGGAAGACUUCAUAAAUGCAAGGAGAAGAAGCCAUGAAGGAAAUAUUAGAAAUUUGGUGACAGAAACAGAGAAUUAAUCUUGAGAGCUGAGAGAGGAGAUGUAAGAAUGAACAUGUGUGAAUAUUCUUGCGAGUACAUAGUAAAUAAUUGAAUGGCUCGAGCUUUCUUAGUUUCCUGGAAAUUUCCUGGAGCUUUCGUAUACAUGAUUUGUCAAGUCAAGAAACAUAGUCAUGAUAAUGGGGCAGACCAGGAAGAAAAGGAAAUUGGAAUUUUGUACAAUUUCUCCAGCGAGGAACUUUCACUGUCAUUACCUCACCGUUACAGUUUGGAUUAGGGUAAUUUUUACCCCGCACCCAAAUGUUUUGACAUACAGCACAACGCACCCAAUUCUUUUGCCCAUGAGCACCGCGCACCCAUUUCCGUUUAUUUUUCAGUUAACUGUAACAGAUCAGGGUAAAAUUGGAAUAACGCAUCAAAAUUUAAAAAUAAAAAAAUAGGUAAACUCGAUGUUUGCGCCAAAAUAAUUUCACAUCACUGUGCUUAUGUUCACUGCGUUUGCGUGUGAGACCAAGAAGCAUGGCCACACCUCCAUUGAUGCCAAAAUCGAGGAGGUGGGUGAAGAAGAAUUGGCGCCAAAAUCAUUCACAUAUGAUGUGCAAGGAAAUUAUUUCAGCCUUUAAAUACUUUUUUAUUACAGCAGCAUCAGCUAUUGCUCUGUUUCGAAGAUCUGCUCAAUUUCUAAGACAAUAGUUGGUUUGAGAGUUUAAGGGAAGUGAAUCCACUGAGCGUGCUAUUGAAGAAGUGGAGGUCAGUUUCAUUUCUUGCUCAAUUGUUUUAAUUUAUUCCAUUUUGUUUGCAUGUCAAUUAUUUACACAUUUUUAGCUGGAUUUUGCUUAUCUAUAAAACUUGAAUCAUUGUUAAUCAAAUCAGCUAUAAUUUACGCCUCAAUGUGGUUUGUAAGUUUAAGUUAUGUUGGAUUAUACCUGAAUAAUGUGGUGUUUGCGUUAUUGAUUUCAAUUUCUAUUGAUGAUUUUGAGUAUACAUAUUAGUGGAUGAAAGUUUUUAAUUAGGAUGAUUGGUCACGCAUAUAUGUCAUAGCAACUGUGUUUUUUUGGGUUAUGGUUGUACUGUAGAUCAGUAGUAGUAGUGAUUUGGAUAUAAACGCUAGUGCUUUUAUUGUAAAUGAUAGUGAUGAAGAUCCAGUGUUACAGAAUUUGAUGUAAAAGUUAUUGGUUUUUGGCUAAAUAUCUUAGAUAAAUAUGAUGCUCAUGCAAUCAAAUCCAAUGCUUAUGCAAUUUACACCAUGUUUAUGAUAAGUAAUUAAAAAAAUAAAUGACUAUUCCAGGUGAAAAUGGAUGAUGAUGAUAUUACAACUGUUCUUUGUACAUUCAAGGGCAAGACAUAUAAUGUUGGUGUAAUUGAUCCAGAUAAGUUUAGUAGAGUUUCUGUAAUUAACAAGGUUUUAGUUAGAGUCUAUGGAAGAAAGAUGAGGCCUGAUGAGAAGUUUACACUAAGUGUUUGGGUACCAUGGGUCUAUAAGGAAGUAGAGAUUAUGUCUGAUCAUGACUUAAUAUUCCAGCUGAGAGAGCAUAAUAAGAUGUUGUUCUACUGCAUGCAAUUGUAUAUUGAAGAAAUCCAUGUACCUCAUGAGUUUGUACCUAGAAGGGCUUUGUUUCAGCACUCAGCAGAAGAAAGCUUACAAGGGUAUGCUGAAACAAACUUUCCAGCCACUACUGACCUGCACAAACCUUAUACACAUGCUACAUCCACCAACACAAAUCCUUAUGAAAAUGACAGUAAUGACCAUUCGAACCAUGAACCCCCUGUCAAGAACUCCAGCAGCAUAAUGAUGCAUAAUGUUGCACUUGAUAGCAUCCAAUCACAGACCAAACCAGAUACCAACCCUGACCUAUAUCAAGACUUUUUGGAUACCUAUUUCAGAUCAUCACCACAACAGAAAACACCAUCAGCUGCCCAAACUAAUGCCGAAAAUAGUGAUAGUGAUAACACAUCUUCAUUUGGUACAAAUAAGACUCCUACUGAGCAGCUUCAACAAAACUUUGCCAUCUCUUCUGAGUUGUCCCCUUUAUUGCAGCAACAUGGACAUCAUGCAUCCCAAAAUGAACCUAUACCUUUUCACCAACCUGAGUUCUCAUCUCAACCAAUAACUCAAAACCCUCAGUCACAAGUUGUACAAGCAGAAAACUUCCAGCAACCAGAAGCCACUACACCAGCACUAGUAGAUUAUAACUCAGAUGAUAGCCAUUAUAGUGUAACUGAUAGUGAGGAAGAUCCAGAUCAUCCAUUAGGUGCUCCAAACAUUAAUAAUACUCCUAGGAAACCUUCUGUUAAUGUUGACUUAGGCUCUAUGCCUUCUGAUGAUAGUGAUGAAGAUUGUAUGCUAUCUGAUUGUGAGAGUGAUGACAAUGAGUUUGGGGAAGAAUCUGAUGAAGAGAUUGAUCAAGUGCUGGUCAGAAUGGAUGCUGUUAUGAGAGAGAACAUGUACAUUCCUAGUGAUACACCUGUUCAAUUCUUUAUUGGGCAGUGUUUUAGGAACUUCAGGCAGCUGGCAUGGGCAAUAAGGACUUAUGCUGUGGAAAACAAGUUCAAGGUUUAUAAGCACAAGUUUGAAAAAUCCAGAGUAACUGUUGGAUGUAAUUAUUUCAGGUGCCCAUGGUUUUUACAUGUUGCAAAAACUAGAUUUGGACAAACCUUUAUUGUUAGGAGGCUUCACAACGUACAUACAUGUCAGAGAGACUUAAAGAAUCCUGAAUGCACUGCAGAGUUCAUUGUUGCCAAGUUUGCUGCAACUAUAAUUGAGCAUCCAGAUACAAAGGUUGGGUGGAUUCAAAGUGAACUUAGAAGGAUGUAUGGAGCUAAGAUACACAAGUAUAAAAUUUAUAGAGCAAAGAAGAAGGUUUUACAGAGACAAUGAGCUGAUUAUGAGUCUAGUUACAUGUUGAUCAGAAAUUAUGCUCAGGCCAUACUUACUAAGAUGCCACAGGCCUUGGCAUUGGUUAAGGUUUUCAGGAUGCAUGGUCAACAACCUCAAACUCACUUUGACAGCACUGUUAUAUCUUUCCAUGCCCUCAGAGAUGGCUUCAACCAAGGUUGUAGACCCUUCAUUGGUAUUGAUGGAUGCCAUUUGAAGGGUCCAUAUAAGGGUGUUCUUUUAUCAGCAGUUGCUAUUGAUGCCAACAAUGGAAUCUUCCCACUUGCAUUUUGUGUAUGUAGUGUCGAGAGUACAACCAGCUGGACAUGGUUUCUAAGCCACUUUAGGGAAUUUUUACAAGAUACAAGACAACUGACCUUUAUGUGUGAUAGGCAGAAAGGAAUUCAGAAUGCUCUUGCCUUAGAGUUUCCUAAUGCACAUGUUAGAUUCUGUGCUAGACACAUCUUAGCAAAUAUUAAGUUAAAACAUCCUCAAUCUGACUUUAAAGCAUAUUUCUGGGCAGCAGCAAGAGCAUCAAACAGAAGGGCAUUUGAUGAUGCUAUGCAAAACAUAAGAGCAGCACAUGAGGGUGUAUAUGAGACUCUUAGGAGGAUACCACCAAAUUUCUGGUCAAGGCAUGCCUUUGACAAUAAUUGCAAGUCUGAUCAUUGCACUAACAACGUAACUGAAUCUUUUAAUGCAUGGAUUGGGAUUCAAAGAAAGUUGCCAAUAAUCUCAAUGCUGGAGUGGAUUAGGAAGAAGCUGAUGAAAAGAAUGAUUGGAAGAAGAAAUAAGGCAGAGUCUUGGGACAGUGAUAUACCAAGAAGAAUUUAUGCACAAAUGAUGAAGAAUUUACAGAUUGGCAGUGCAAACCCUAUCUGUAGAGCUAGUAAAUGGCUUUAUGAAGUGGAUGAAAAUACCAAGACUUAUAUCGUUGAUCUUGAACACCAUAUGUGUGACUGCGGACAAUGGCAAGUUAGUGGGAUUCCAUGUGUACAUGCAAUGCCUUGUAUUGUGAAUAGUCAAAAAGAUCAAGCUCAGUUCAUUAGCCAAUGGUUGAAGAAAGAUACUUACCUAAGGUGUUAUUCUGGAUUGAUUAAACCAAUUCCAGAUAGAACGUCAUGGGUAGAUGCUGGUGGUGAUGAAAUACUGCCCCCUUUAGUGAGAAGACCACCUGGACGACCUAAGAUGACAAGAAGAAGAGAAGCUGAUGAGGUACCAGCACAUAAUAAACGAUACAAGAUGCAAUGCACUAUUUGCAAGGGAUUUGGACACAACAGAAGGGGUUGUCCUGUUAACCCUCAUAAUGCUCACAAGACAACAAGACAAUAUAAGGUGAGUGUGUAUGCUUGUAAGAGAAUAUUCAAUUAUUUUUUGAACCAUGUUCCUCCCAUGUGAUGACAGCUAAUGUGCCUUGUUUGUUUGUGCUUUUUUAUAGAAUAACCUGAAGAAGCACGUGACAAGGACAAAUGGGGAGCAAAGUGAAGGUAUAAGAGUAAUUUACUAAGUUAUAUUACUAUAUUACUUUACAGCUGUAUUAGAUAAUUAUAUAGUUGUGUAUCACCAAACUAUAUUAAAUUAACUUAUUUAUUUAACGUUGCUUUAUUGGUAAUUUAUAAGGCCAAGUUCACGGAAUUACCUCAACUAUUUUGGAAAGCCAAGACAAUGACAUGGUCCAAGUAACUGUCUCAGGCCAAAACAUAACAAAGAACCAGCAGACUGCAUCUAACAAACGCAAGAUUGGCAAUCAAGCAGGGCCAUCAAAAGCAAAUGAAGUCAUUGGCAAGAGCAUGAAUGGGGUCAUAUCUGUAGCUCCAUGGGUAGGUGAACAGGGAAGAAAAGUAAUGUCAGCCGCUGGAUUAACCUUCAGCAAAGAGGAUGAAGUCGGCAACUAUACUGAAAUGAAGCAUUUGGACAAAGGGAAGGCACCAGCCUUCCCUUCGUAAAGGGUAAAACCAUAGUUUUCUAUUGAUAUAAAUUAAUAUUGGUUUUGGAAAUGAUAUUUAUAAUUUGUAACUUGUUUUGUAGUGAUUCUUUGGCUAUGAUGGAGACAUUGGCAGCAAACUUAUUAACAAACAGUGGAGGCAACAUUAUCAUUUUUUGACACCUUCCACAAUGCCACAUCAACCCACCAGGCACAAGGUUAAGGUUAUCUGGAUGCUGAUUUCAUUAGGAUCAAGUGGCCAAGUAAUGACCAGGCAUGUCAUUGUUUUCUUUUUCUUUUUUAUUUUGGAGCUGAAAUUGGUGGAAGUUGUUGGACAUUAAGCUUAAGCAUUAUAGAGCUGGAAGCUGUGAUGACCUACUAUAAGUAUGAUUGGAAGGGUUUAUGGCAUUUUGAAAGUUUUUGGGAUUAAGAUACAUAUAGGACUGAUAUCAACCAAACCAACACUUUUUUUUUUUGUUUUUUGGUCACAUGUAUGUAAACACCAGAUUGGAUGUGACUAACAUUGUAAGUUGCUGCCAAUAUGCAUUUAUAGAUAAAAUAACUUAUUGCUAUUAUUGAUAUCAUAUUUGAUUAAAUGGUAUAUGUCAAGAAACGAAUGCAUUUUAUUGAUCAUAAGAUUUCAUUUUACACAUUGUUCUAGCAUUCCUUACAGUACAAUACAAGCAAUACAAGUAUAGUUAUCACUAUAAUCGUGAUUUGAUACUUCUUAUUUUUAUGAAGUAAACCUUCAAUAUUGAUGAACCUGUUGUGGAAGUCCUCAAUGUUAAAUUGUUGAAUCUCACUUGCCCUGUCUGCAGCUUCUUCUUCAAACCUUUGUAACGCUGCUUCAAUUUCUAUAGCCUCACCUGUAGAUGGUUUCCACCAUCUAAAGAAACCACAAGAUGGGUCAUUAGGGCAUGUGUAAUAUAGUUUGUUGGGGUUUGUUUUUGAUUCUGACACUUUGAUUUCUGCCCUUCUUCGACAGUAGCAUACUGUGUUAUAGAACUUGAUGAUGCCCCCAUUGAUUUUAGGUAAAUCCCUUCUUCUGUUAUAAGUUGAUGAACUUGAUGCAUUCCUUGAAGUGGACAUUUUCUUCAAAUUUCCAAUGUCGUGUCUGUUAUAUUCUUUUUGAAAUACAGCACAACGUAUCUGAACUUCAAGUUGUUGUGCUUGUUUUGUGUGUGAAUGAAGCUGCUGUUGAAGUUGUAUUGUUUCGGUGGGUAAAACCAAAUGUUGUACUACUGUAAGUUGUUGCUGAGUAAAAAAAAUGGUGGAGUUUCCAGGUGAGUCAAUGAAAAUCACUGAGGUGUGAAGAGGGUAGGAAUUUAUAUGUGUUAAACAUCACAGCUUGUGGUGAUGCAUCAGCUCAAAUUUAUCAAUUUCUUUUACUGUUCUUGUAACCAUAUAGCCGUUAUUACUGUUGCUCAGAUUUUAUAGCCGUUGGAUUUUUGAUGCGCAUGGUAAUAAACCAAUAUGCUAAGGGCAAUAUAGUCAAUAUAAUUUAACAGUUAUAGUUGGUCUUCGUGUGUAAAUACACCUUUAAAUAAUGGCCAGUGGUAAAUUCCUUAGUUCAAUGACUCACCUGGAUGCAUUUGAAUUCAACGCAAGGGUAUAUUUGUCAUUUAAUCAAAAUAUAGACUGAUCCGUUACAAUUAACUAAAAAAUAAACAGAAAUGGGUGCGCGGUGCUCAUAGGCAAAAGAAUUGGGUGCGUUGUGCUGUAUGUCAAAACAUUUGGGUGCGGGGUAAAAAUUACCCUUUGGAUUAUGAUUUGAGGGUGCAAGUAUUUACCUAGAGUUUACCUCCGCACUAAAUUCUUAAGUUUUGAAAAUUAUGAGACCUUUAUAUUGGGAGAUAUUGUAAUCGAAUCAAAACUUAAAUUUUUUAUAAUGUUAAUAUUUAAUCUUUUAAAAAACAAUAACCUCGCCGUUACAGUUUGGAUUAAGAUUUGAGUAAGUAUUUACCUAAAUUUUACCUCCGUCUGUAAAUUCUUAAGUUUUGAAAAUUAUGAGACCUUUAUAAUCGAAUCAAAAUUUUGAAUUUCAAUAUUAUUAUUCUUUAAAAAAAAUUUUGAGAUAACAGAGUGAUUGAUAAUAUAGGAGAACUUGUCUAGGCAAGCACAUGUAUACACAGAAACGUGAUGGAUUCAAAAAGAAAUUAAAGUGAUAAUGCGAAAUCGCUUGGUGGCCCAGUAAAAUUACGACUGAAUUUUUUUUUUUUUUUUUACAAAAUUCAAGCUCAUAAAUGACAAAUUUCAUUUCCCUUUCACACGUCAUUAACUUUUGUAACAUGGUGUGUGCAUCGUCAAGUGAGGCAAAAGGGUUUCAAUUACAGUUGGAAAACAUGAACAAGAAUGCAUAAUGAAUAAUUCCUUCGAUAAACCGAAAAUUAAGCACAGAAUAAUCCUAAAAUUUAAACUCUAAUAUCUUAUAAUGUAUUGAUUAAAAAUAAUCCUAAGAGCUCCCAAUUGAAACUUUCAUAAGUAUUUUAAUUGUUUUGGAUAAACAAAUUGCACUAGGAUAAAAAUUUGGCAAAUUCAGAGGAUAAUGGAAAAUAGUUAUGCUUCAAUAGGCCAAAGAUUAGAGAACAAAUAAGAAUUAUUUAUUGAUAUACAAAAGAGAAACACUCCAAAAUUUCAAGCAAAAAUAGUUUCAUAUAUCAUUUCGAUUUUGAAAGGGAUGAGAUUUUGAACUUCAAUAGUUUCCUCUAAAAUUAAAAGGUAGCAAUUAAGCUAAAAAGAGCAAUGAAGACUUAUUGGUACCUUAUUAAAGGUAAACAUUAUGGAACUUUCAAUGUCAUUAUCUCACUGUUCAAUUUUUAUUGAGAUUUGUGUAAGCAUUUACCUAAAUCUUACCUCCGCCUUUAAAUUCAUAAGUUUUGAUUAAUUAUGAGACCUUAUAUUGGGAGAUAUUAUAAUCAAACUAAAACUUAAAAUUUCAAUAUCAUUAUUCUUUAAAAAGAAAUUGAGAUAUCAGAGUAAUAUCACAUAGAAAAACUUGCCCACGGACGGUAAGCCAAAAGUCUAGUCAACCACACGCAUAAAGCUAACUAGAACAAGAGAACAGAGAAACGCGUGGGUCCCUAAAAGAAAAGGCAAGCACAUAAAUAACUUUCAAAAUGCCCAAGCAAAUACCGAUGAAAAUCACUGUUUAAGAAUAAUUUAUUAUGUGGUUGAAGCUUUCUUUUUAUCAAUCUUCUUUCUACCCAUUAAUUUUCCCACGACUUUCCCGUUUCAUUUCUUGAAUCUCCAUGGAUUAACUUUCAAUAAACCAUAAAAUAAACUAAGGAAUCAUUUUCUCGAAUACAGCUAUGAUUUUAAUAAAUGGGCGGACCAUCUAGAAUAGUAUAUAUAAUUCUGUUUAAUUAAUAAGUUGAAAAAACCAUCAAGAGAAAUUCUAAUAUUAUGAGCUUGACACGAAUUCUUCACUAAUUCCAAAACAAGGAGCUGUUUUAUAAGAACUGUGGUUGGAUUAUUAAGUUUUACAAUUUGAAUAUAAAUAAGAAAAUAAAAUCAGUCGCGUUGAUGUUUUCGAUACAUUUCGCUGCUAACUUUUUUUUUUUUUUUAUUACAUGAGACUAUUGCUCAAAUUACAACUCAUAUUACAUGAGAAUAUAACUGAUAUUUACAAAUCAGACUAUAACUGGGACCAAUAUACAUCAAUACUAAUGGAGCGCUGCCCAGAUUUUAACCCUCUCAAAUAUUCAAGGGAUGUCUACACCUCACACUUGGGUAAGGAAACAGACUGUCUUCACUUAAAUUUACUUGAGGAAUGAAGACCCCCACAAUACAUUGUGGGGGUUCACCACUCGACCAAAGGCCGAGUGGCUCAUUUCGCUGCUAACUUAAUUAAUUACUUUACUUCAACUUUAUUUCCUUAGGGGCACUUUAUGGUGGGUCCAAGAUGGGACCUACAAUAAUCAAUCCUAAAAUUUAGUAUGGUUACCAAAUAGCUAGUAGCUAGUGUUAUUUUGUGUUUGGUGGAAGAGAUUGAAUAUUUAGUUUUAACUUAACCAUUCAACUAAUUAGAAAAUAAAUAAAAUUAAAUGAAAUGUUUAGAUAUCAAUUUAAAUAUUAAUAUCGGGGAUAUAAAUUAGUUAUAAUAUAGUUCAUUACAUAAAAUUGAUUAAAUUAAUAAUUACCCGUGAACAUAGAUGUAUAUGCUUUCCAAUUUCCAAAGUGCUCAAAGCACUUUUCUCACCAAACUUUCCUCUGAAUUUCCCGUAGCUGACUCCUUUGUUUGCGUUUUGUGAAAUUUCUAGGAACUUUUUUCGAUUUAGAAUAUUGUACAUUUUUCUUUUCAGCUGAGAUUAAUUUAACUUAUAGAAAAUCUUAUCCUUUUUUAAUAUUAUUUAAAUAAAAUUUGUCUAUCUUUUAUUUUAUUAGUCUACUUUUUACCCAUUAAUUAAGACUUUUCAAUUUCUUUUUUACCUGAGGUUUUCAGUGACUAUCUUUCAAUAAACCAUAAAAAUUACUUAGUCAUUUAUCGAACAAUUAGAUGACCAUAUUUCAAAAUAUCAACUAGAAGUUGUCCUGAAAUAUUUAAUUAAUAGUUGAAGAAUUGUGAUUAGUGUGGGCAUCUACAUAAAAAUUAUAUUAAAACACCGCUAAAAGAUAAAAAUAAAAUAAAAUAGUACAAACAUACACCCAUAGGUUAAAACAAAGAAAAAACACGAACCAAUACACUAAAAUGUUUUAGCUGUAGUUAGUUUUCAGUUUCAUUACUUAAGUCCCACGUGCAUGUCACGUGACUGAGGUCAAAAAAUGAUUGUCACAUUAAAGUUCAAAAUACGGAGCAGGGUAAUUAAGGAGUGGAGCUAUUGGCACCCCUCCAUUAUUCUUACAAAACUCCACUUUAAAUCAAAAUAUAAUUAAGAAUAAUUGAAAAUUAAACACUUAUAGAUUUCUUUACAACAUGUUGAGUGAUAAAAAAGCACCAGUCGGGCAUGUCCCCAUUUCUUACCCGGUGCCGAAUCUCCACGGUCGAAUGGUAUGAGUAGACUCUUGGUGAUGUCUUCUAUGUGGAGCACGUAACAACAGACCAGGAACUAGUACCAACCAAAAACGAGUACUGAUCGAAACAAGCAUGACCAGAAACGCAUACCGACCAGAGACUUGUGGGUCCGUAAAAGAAAAGGCAAGCACACAAAUGAAAAAGCCAUUACAUUUCUAUUUUACAUGUCAUUCCUAAUUUUUGUAACACGAUGUGGCAGCAUAUGCACAAUCAAAUGAGGCAAAAGGGAUUCGACUAUCGUGGCAGAACAUGGACGAGGACGCGUGAUGAAUAAUUCCUUCGAUAAAACGAAAAACAAACGCAGAGAAAAGAAUUUCUUAUAUGACAAGAAAUUAAAGUAAUGUGACGGAACAUGAUGAAGAAAUUGCAGAUCGAUCAAUUAUCCCCAUGGACUCCUAUAAAUUCAACCAAAAUAACAAUUCCAAUAUUACCAAAUUCUUGAGUUAAAUUUAUUCAAUGCUUUUUUUUAAGAGAAAUUUUUUCCAAUGCUACUUUCCCUUUUUUGGGGAAAUUAGAACUGCGGCAUGUAUAGAAGACAUUGAGGUAUAAAGCAACAUUAAUUUCAUGGGUUAUGCGUUAUACGCAUAAUAUAUUUUCAGUCCAAAUUCAACUAUGCAAAGAGGCUUGAGAACUUAAAAUUAAGCACAAACUAAACAGACGAAGUAAAUACAUGAUUAUGCAACAUAACAUUAAUUCUCUUAAUUUAUAACCGUUUUGCCACAUGAAUCUUGCACAGUUAAUCCUAAUUGAAGACUAAAAAAGAACAAUUGGAACAAGGUUUUGAAAUAGAAUGAUAGACAAUCGAUAUGAUCCAUUUCCAGUCGUCAACGCUAAUUAACUGCAGUUUCUAGACUCCUAAUUAUACUAGCCAUAAGAAACUGUUUAGAAAACUGGUGAUCAGAUUAGAUUUUGAAAUGAAAUAAUGUUCAUUUUCCCUUCGUUACCCUUUUAUUUAUUUAUUAUUUUUAUACCAAAGAAUUCUAUCAUGAAACGAAUCAAUUUAAUCACCUUUUCCAGCAGCACAAUUUUUCUUUUAUAAAAUUUGACCACAGAGACAAAGAAGAAUUAUUCAUACCUUCAUCAGUAAGGAAAUACUUUUCGGUAUGGCUAGGGUGAGAAAAGGCUUUCCACAAACACUUGUACUUUGUAUUCCUGUAAAUUUUCUUUAAAGUCAAUAAAAAUCAUAAGUUCUUUACAAUAACCAUCUCUUUGAUAAAAAAAGUGCCGUAUUCCUUUAGAAUUUAAAACCGGCAAAAUCGAAUCAGUGUCUUUGAAGAGACAUAAUGGUCAUAAUUCUUUAAAGAGUUGGCUAUGGAAAUCCUUAUCCAAGAUUCUUUUACGCCAUAUUCUUUCGUAAACCAAAAUUCAUUUUGGAAUACUCUGUUGAGAAUGUCAAAUAAAACGGUAUUGAAGGAAGUUUUCAAAGGCAGAAUCCGCACUUGUCAAAGGGAUGAUCUGCAUUUGUCAGAGACACAAUCUGCGUCGAAUGAAUCGACACAUUUCCUUUUGUAUUCGCAUAUGUAAUUUUUGAAAAAAUGUAGCUUCUGCAUCUAUAAAUAACGCUCAGUGUAUAAUGUUUUAUUCAAAAAAAGAAAACAAGUUUCUUCAUACUCGUCGUCCGAACAUACAGAGACCGUCUCUCAUAACUUCAGCCGAAUACUUAUGAUGAUGAUCAUUUGUGAUUUCAUCAGGCAUAGGGUUGAUGGUGAAAAAUUUUGUAUGUGUGAAGAAUUGAGCUGUGGAUAUAGGGGACUUAAGUGUAAUCGAAAGAGAGUUAUUAGGCCAUAGUGUAGAUUGCAUUCAGUUUAUGAGUCGAUAUGCAAAUAAUUUGUUGACGUGGCGAAAUUUGUUAUGGUCGUUACUAUUGUUUCUGGAAAUUUUCUAGAAACCUCAGCAUAAAAGGGGCUUUUGGAUAGCCUCUGGUGUGCGUGUGAUUUCUCUUUCGUUUCCUCAUCAAAUUCUGUAAUUCUUGCUUUGAUAAAAAGCUUGUAAUCUCUUCUGUAAUUGUGAUCAGUGCGUAAUCAUUUUGAGCGAUAAAAGCUUGUAGGUUUUUCCUUCAAACAAUGUCGUUUUGGUCAGUUUGUUAGUUUGAUCUGUUGGUGGAAUUUUCUUUGGUUAUUUGUUCUCAAAUUUCAACCUUAUAUAAAGUUUGAACUCUAAUGGCUUAUAAUGUAUUGAUUAAGAAUAAUCCUAAGAGUUUCCGAUUGAAAUUUUUAAUGACUAUUUUUAUUGUUUUGGAUGCACAAAUUGCAUUAAGAAAAAAUAUUGUCAAAUUCAGAGGAUAACGGGAAAUAAUUAUGCUUCAAAAGGCCAGAGAUUAGAGAAUAAAGAAGCAUUCAUUACUGAUAUAAAAACUGCUUCUAUUUGGAUUUUGAAAGGGGUGAAGUUUUGAACUUCAGUUGUUCCUCUAAAAUCAAAAGCAAUAAUUAAGCAUUCUCAAUUAGAAAGAGCAAAGAAGACUUAUUGGUACCUUACUGAAGCUAACAUUAUGGCACGGUUGUUCAUAUGUAAUGGCUGCUCUGUUAUGCUAGCUUCUCUGUUUUUGCUUCUAUUUUUGCUUACAGUUUUGAAGAUAAAUUCUUGCUCAAAUAACACAUAAUUAAAUAACACUAAUAUGGCUCAUGAAAUCCUAUAAUAGCUAAUUACGCAACUUUCUCCUCCUCCUCAAUUCUGUCUUCCCCUGCUCGGACACUAACUUCAAAAUUCAAUGCCCCGAAAAACAACACAAGAAAUCUUUGAGUUAGUUCGUGACCAGUUUAUAUAUAGUAGCAAUUGAAAAAAGAAAAAGAAGAAAAGAGUUAAUUAUUUUUCAGACCUUCACUUAUUAGGAAGUUUGUUCUGCUAUUGGGUGAGAUCAAGCUCUCAGCAUAUACUUCCACAUGAUACUUUCUAACAUUUUCUUGAAAGCCAUCAAUCAUUAAAUCUUCAUACUUUUUUCCAUCCUUUGGAUCAAUAAGUACAAAUUUCUCAUCUAAAAAAGACAAAAUAAAAUCACUGUCCUUCAUGGAAUCAGAAUUGAGCUUACAAAAACCGAAGUGGACAGUUCCAUUCAGAUUGGUCGCCCGAGAACAAUGAUGAGAAGACUUAAAAUCAGUUUCAAAGGUUUUCCAAGUAUUGUUCCUCUAAACCACUUGUAUAUUUUACCAGAACUCUUGGUUAAGAAAAUCCUAGUCCAUGGAGUAUGAUAUAUCAAUCAUGCAACAAUGACCUACAACAUCUAUGUGGAUUGAUUUUUGCAAAAUAAAGAACAAUGCUGACUGAGGAAUAAGGUGCAUACCCGAUUAGCAAUAUCUCAGCAAGUAACCAACAAUUUUUUAUCUGAUAAGAAAAAAUUACAAUUUCUUGAAUAUACAUGAAACAUUUUGCAGAAAGAACCAUGUCAUAAUUAUUAGUCCAACUGAAGAAUUAUCAAUACUUAUCACAUGAAACGAAAGAUACCCGAGUUCACUUAAUGAAAUUCUCUUUUUUUUUUCUCUAACAUUGAGAUAAGCAAAAACUUUUAACUAAAGACAAUCAUCUAGUGAUCUCAAACAAAUGAGGUUAGUAUGAAACCAUCAUAAUUUGUUCGCUCAUUGCCUAAUUUUAUUAAUGCAAGAGCCUGGAAGCAACUCAAAAAGAAAAUAACCGACAUAGGAAGUGUCAUCUCAUAUCUCACCAAUGAAUGGGAACAGCUUGAUGUGGCUGAGCAAACUGGCAGAAUUGUCAUUUUAACACACGUUCAAGAAACUCAGCAAAUUCUCAUAUCUGUUUAAAUUCCACAGCAAAGAUAGUUACAAGAAAUCUAAUCAAAAUUUAAAAUGUCAGAAGGCAAAUCUUCCAAUUAGGAUCAAAAGAAGAUAAUUAUAAUUUGUCAUUUCAAUUCUGAAUGUACAAUUUUAUUUUUUUAUGUGUGCAUUAAUUAAGAUUCUACCUUCUCUGCAAAAUUGUGAUGGACUUGGUAAAUAAUGAAUUGUAUCGACUUGAAUUUUAUACAACUUAUUGAGAUAAUAAUACGCCAAAUUCAACACCGUCCAUCCCAAAUCACAACAAGAAACUCAAACUUUUAUCCCCUCAAGUGGGUUCUUGAAACUGAAGCUUUAGUGCCAGUACAAUUUUGAAAGAUUGUGAUCAAACUAAAACAUCAAAUAAAAUAAGACGUAACAAAAACACGUCUUCAGAAAAUUAGUAUAGGAAUAAGAUAAGCUACACAGACCUACUUCAAUGAAUUAGAAAAAUUAUGAUAAACUUGAUGCAUUUCGAAAAACAACAAACAAAUAUUCCCAGGAAAACAAAAAAAAGACAACUUUGUUUAAGCUUAGACAAAAAUAACUAAGGACAUAUGAAUGCAUCAUAAUAGUAUCUCUAUGGGUAAUUUUCAGAAAUCUCCCCUAAGGUAUGGUGUAUUCUUAGUUUGAUAGAAAAUAUCUAAGUAUUCUUAUAGACCUCCCCUACUGUUAGUAUUCCAUUUCGUAUAUGUUAGGUAGAUGAGGGUAAGAUCGUAAUUUGAAUAAGUUAAUGAUAAAAAAUCCAGAAAUUUUAAGAUUUUCACAUUGGCCUCUGGGCUUUAUUCAUCUCUUUCAUCCACCAAAACCAGAAAUACAACUCACCUCUCUCCUCCACCUAAAUCGAAGCAAGGUAGCUCAAAACUCAUUUCAAAAAAUUGAUCAAUUACUUGGGUCACAAACUAGAGACAAUGACGACGAAGUUGAUGACGCCAAUAUCGACGACGAAGCUGAUGACGCCAAUAUCGACGACGAAUGAUUCGCAACUGCCAGGUAAGAGAGUAUAGUAGGUUUCGCCAUCGAACGCCCAAUCAUCCAGUUGUUUUGGAGCCGCGUUAUUUUUAUUAGCUAAAAUUAGAAUUUUUAGUGAAAAAUUGAAAGUGGGUCUCAAAAUUUUUUGAGAGCGUAUAUGUUUCUCCUGAUUUUUCGAUCGAUUCGUGUUAGUUGCAGUUAAAUGAUUAAUCCAAUUCGUGUUGAAGAUAGAGCUAACUCGAAUAUCUCUAUAGUCCUGUAAUUGAUUGAAAAUGGGUCUUGAAAAUUGUUUUAGAUUUCAGCUGUGUGCUUCUGAUUUUUUCCAUGGAUUCAUGAUAGAUGAAAAUGGUUGAUGAAGAUUUGCUUGACAUGUAUAUAGAUGGUAUUUUGUUAAAGGGGUUUUAAUUUUUUCCUUUUUUGGUGGUUUCGAUUGUGGUAUUUACAUGCCUUAGGUUGAGAAAAACGAAAAUGGUUUGUUGCACUCUUUUGUGUUGGAUCAGUGAGUUUAGGCGAUUUGAAAUGGUUUGCGGCAUUCAAUUGAUUGUUUUAUUUAUGUGGUUUGAUAUGGGAAAAGUAUAAUAAAAUUCAAUUGUUCCAUAUGUCAAUUUGGAUGUUUUGAAAUUAUGAACUACAAAAAGUUAAAAUUAAUUUCUUAUUAUAUUUUCAAUUGAAAGUUACUAUUGUCUUCUUUUUAGUACUUAGUAUGCAUUUUUCCCCAUCUUCUAGUGGUGGUGUUGCACCCAUUUUGAAUUUGAUCGGCAUCUUCUUCUGUACAUGCAUGUUUCUUGGACUCCAAUUUUUGUUUCAUAUGAUGAAGCUAAUUUAAUUCCUCCUUUUUAAUAUCAACUUUGUUCAUCUAGGUUUGCGAUUUUGAUCUUUCUCAUUUGAAGGCAAACACAUUUAUGUCAUCAAAAUUUCCAAUAUUUUUUAUUUUAUAGUAUCCAAACUGCUUAUGGCAAUAUGAAAUUGAGAAUAUUUCUUUCAUCAUGUUAACCUAAGUGGAUGGUGGAUGAUGUUUGUGUAAGAGAUUUAAGUUAUUUGUAUUAUAGAAUAUGUCUUAUGUUUUGAUUUGCAAUUUCACCAUUAAAUUGGCUUUGUAAAUGAUUAGAAGCUAAAUGCAUAAAAUGAAAACAAUAGUAACAUUUCUGAGUGGGGUAUAAUCAGAUGCUAACAUGGCGAUCCAUGACUUGUAAUUUCUAUUGUCGUUAUAAUUGGACUAGAUCGAGGUAAACUGACUUUUCUUGUUCUGUUUUUUUUUUCAUUUCUUUGUUCUAGAUUUUUCUUUCUUUGUUUUACUUCUGGUUUCUUCUUCAGCAUAUUCAAUAACUAGCAUGAGCAAAUGGAGAGGAAAAGGGUAGAAUAUGCUUUUAAAAAAAAAGAAAAGAAAAAAAGAGAUAGCUCUAAUUCAAAAAUAAGGAGGAGAAAAGGGCAAUGAUUGAAGUUGUGGAGAAGAAAUUCUUAAUGCAUAGGAGAUGACAACAAAGUGUUGCAACUGGGAGCAGUUUUAAAGUGCUAUUCGAUUGCUUUUGUAAUCAAAUUGUCUUUUGUACCUAUUUAUACACACACAUAUUUGUAUUUGUAAUUUGAAUUUUACAUUUUCUCAAGACAACUAUGUUUAUUUUAAAAAAAAUCUAAAUGUAACUAAAAUAUUAAAGUUUUUGUACUUAUUACUCCAUUUGAUGAUUUUUUUUAUUUUUUUGCUGACGAAUAUUCCAUGUCAAUUUUUUUCCCUUCAGCUCGUUUAAGGUGUUUUAUUGUCUGAUGUGAUAUUUGGUGCUCGGGAGGAAGGGUGUUUUAAGUCUUUUUUGGUGUCAGGGGCAAUUUUGUCUUUACAUCAGUCAACAAAUAGUCAAUGGAUGGAAAUGCAAACAGCAGGGGAGGUGUCUGAUAAUACACGGAUACUUUCUAUCAAACUUAUAAUACACAAAAUCUCAGGGGAGGUUUUUGAAAAUUACCCAACUGUGCAAAAUUAUGAAAAAAAUGAGCUAAACAUAUAUAGCAUUUCAGAGGAGUGCUUACUUGACAAAUCACUAAUACAAAGCUGCGAAUGGGCAUUCGGAAUGUUUUGAGAGACUCGUAUGGAUAAAAUAUGUAGUUAUUUAAGUAAUGACAGAAGGAGAAUCGUGUGGCUUGUCAAAGCCGUUAGCUCCAUCUCAUUUGCCUCGUCCUCUCGUUUUGUUUCUGUGGGGACAUAUUUGAUAUUUUGGAUUUUGUCUAAAAUUCGUCAUGUUUUUGGAUACUAACAUCUGCGCCUCUAGACCAAUAGCCAUUUGAUUAAGUGGGAGAACCCUUACACUAGUGUAAGAAUUUGAACUUUUAUAAAAUUAUUUAUGAGAUUAUUUAUAAUUUUUUUUAAUUAUCAAAUAAUUGAGUAGAGUCAGUUUAAUCCUUACGAAAUAUUUACUAUUCAUAAAUAUCUUUUUUUUUCUCUAUCUUACAAUUGAAUAUUCUCUCUCUACUCCAACAUUAUGUAACCUAAAUAUUUAAUUUCACUCUUUUUUAAUUUAUUUUUUUGUCUUUUCUUAGUAUAUUAUAAUCUUUAUUUCAUGUUUUCUAUAUAUAAGAAUUUUUUUAUAUCUAUUAAAUUUUGUGUUUAGUGAAAAUUAAUUUCUUGAUAUUUUUAAUUUUUAUAAUUGAUAAAAAUAUAUCAAUGUUCAUUUUUAAAUGAUGGGUUUUGUUCAUUUUAGUUUGUUAUAUUAAUUUUUUGUAGGUAAAAGAAUAUAUUUGAAUGAAUUGAAGGAAAAUUGUGAAAUUGAGAAGAGAAAGAGAAGAAAAAGUUAAUUAAAUAAUUUUUUCAAAAAUUAUUUAAAUAAUAAAAUUCUUAAUUAAAAACAAAGAUGGAGAGAGAAAUUUAGUGGGUUCAAAAUACUUAUUUUAAAUCCAAAAAAGAACCAAUAAAAGAAAUCAAAAGAUGAUUCUUUUCUUUCUGACAUAUUUCUCUGUACUUUUCUCUCUCUACUGAUUCACAAUUUUUCAUACUUCUAACUAUCAUUUUAUUCAAGUAUUUUGUAUUUUUAAUGACAAUUAUUUAAUUUUUAGUUAGUUUUGAUAUUGAUUAGAGAUUUAAAGUGUAUUUUAGAAGACUUCCGGUCUCUUGAAAAAAGGAAAAAUGGAGAAGAAGAAGUGUUCUUGAUUUUUUGUAGGCGUUAAAGUUAAAUGGUUUGAAAUGAUAUUCUUUUUUAAUUUCACUCAUUAAUCUCAUUCAAGAUAAAAUUAUAAAUGCAAAUAAAUGGGGUUUCAUAAGUAUUUUUAAUAGUGUUAAAAGGUCUACUCACUAAAUAAACAUGUUUAACCCAAACCAAUGCGAUUAGUAAGUUAUUGGGUUGGGUUAAUCAGGUUAAAAAUCAAAAUUAAAAAUUAAAUAAAUAAAAAAGGUAUAAAAACUAUCUGUUACUUGAAAAUAAAAAGAAUUUCUAAUUGUUAGUUCUAAUGUCCCAUAUCCAAAACAUGCAUAUUAAAUAAAUAUUAUAAGUUAGAAAUACAAUAUCCAAGAAAGAAUGAAUGAAAUACCAUAUUUUUGUUGAGAAUUAAGAGUGUGAUUUUAAUUUUGAUAUUGGAGUCUAAAGUGCCACGUUUAAAUAUUCUCUUUUAUAAAAUAAUAAAAAGAGGUUAAAAAUUAGGUUAGCAAUUUAGCCAUUUAGGGUUUAGCAAUUAAGGAUGAACAUAUUAUUGUUGUUGUUGUUAUUAUUAUUAUUAUUUAUAUGUUUACUAAUCCAAUCCAAUCCAAUUAUUAACGAAUUUGAAAAAAUUGAUUCAAUCAAGCCAUAAUAAUUCAUUCAACUCGUCUAAAUUGGAUUAGGUUGAAUUUGGUUUGCCACCCUUGUUUUGAGCAACAAACCUCAAUGUGAUUCCAUGAGCUCUUUGAUUGUUUAUAAAAUUGUUUAUGAAAGUGCAAAAUAAAUUAUUGUAUACAUUAAAAUGUGCAAAACAAUGAAUUAUAUGUACGAACGAGUGCAAACACAUUUUUCAAUAAGAAGUUAAAAGAUAUUUAUGCAUGAAAAAGCCUACGUUUGUAGUUAUUCUAAAUUUUAAAAACAAAAUUUACAUUUAGAUCCCUAAAAUUUACGUAUAAGUACAAAAGUUUCAAAUAUUGUCUAUUAUUUUUUUAACAUGCCUAUUCCUUGUGGAUAAUUCUAUCUCAUCACUAAUGUUGUUUCUUGCUUACAAUUUGUAUAGUGUCUCAAAAUAGACAAUAGGGGGAUUUUGAAUUUUUUAAGUCUCAAUAUAGUCUCUAAUCUUGUGAGAAAGAUUUUCUUUCAAUAAUUUGGAGGUAAACAUAACAUAACUUUUUGGACUAAAGCCUAACUCUGCUGGUUAUGGUGGUAUCCUUUUCAAGACCUGCGUCUUUAGAUUCGAGUUUUAUAGUGUGCAUGCGUAUUUAAUUAAUAAUUUUUUAAAACAAUACAUCAAAUAUUAAUAUCCAUGACAUAAUUUAGUUCUUAAUUUUUUUUUUAAAUACAUCAAAAACAUAAUUUUUUUAACAACUUAUAGGCAUGACAAAUUUCAAGAUAUAAAUAUCAGUCAAAAUAAGUGAAAGAAAUAAUGGUGCCAAUUCUAAUUUCUUAACUAAAUUAAUUAGUGCAUGAGCCCCGAAUACGACACGAGAGUUUGAUGGGCUAACAUGGCACAAGAACCUGAAUAAAUAAUUGAUUUAAGAAAUAAUUCAAUGAAAAAUAUAAUUGAUAAGAAUUCAGUAUUGAAAUGAGUUUUUUAUGAAACACUGAAUUAAUGAUUAUUAAGCAAGAACAAUAAAAAAUAAAUAUUAAUCAUUGAUAAGUUUCAACAAAAGCUUAACACAAUCCUCAAUCCUAAUUCAAAUUAUAAAUGUCAUUCAUAUAUUCAUUAUAAUCAACAACAAAGGUUAUAAAUGUUUAGAAAUUCUAGAGGGAAGGAAGCUAUCGCUGGGCAAUCAACAACUAAAUUUGAUGUAAUUGUGGCACGAGAUGGAAUAUGGAAACUACACCAUAAUUUCAAAUGCCGCCAUAGACAUUGACUUAUCUACAAUAACAAUGAUCUAAUUAAAAUAAAAAUAGAGUUUAUGGGCAUUUAUUAAAAUAAAAAUAGGAGUGAAGUAAAAACAUUUAGAUUUUAAUGUAUGUACGGAAAAAUUUAUCUUUAAAAAUACUUUCUUAAUGUGUGUGUGCAUAUUGAAAUACUCAAACCAAUUUUGGUUAUAUAUAAUUCAACAAAAUUUAAAAUAUGAAAAAUAUAAUGUAGUUAUAGUGGAUAAGCAAUAAGUGAGCACAAUAUAAUUAAUCAAAUACUAUGCUAUCAAAAGUUAAUUUUAGAAAUUCCAAAUCCAAUAGCUAACACAAUUCUUUAAAGAAAUAACAAGGGGCAUUGGGCAAGAGUAAUGAAUGCUUAGUGGGUGCAUUUGAUUGAUAGAUAUAUAAAGGGCCGAAACUUGAUAUUAUAUUACUUUUACAAAAUUUAAUCCAAUCACAUAUUUAAUGAAAACAAAAUGAGUUAGGAUUGUUUAUUUAGAACCCACAUUUUAAUAAGGCUUCAUUUGAUGUAGUUUUUCAAACAUUGAUUAUUUGAGUAAUUACAAAGUACAAUACGUACCAAGUUUGGUAACUUAAUUGACAUCUUCUCAUAUAACCUUCGAUCAAGUCGAUUCUGACCUGACGACUAAUUGGUACAUCACCGUUGUUCUCUAUACUCGCAUGCAUCCGAUCACAAAUCUCACUCCAAUUGUCGUCUUUCUUCGGCGUUUUAGCGCAUCCUUCUUGAAUUUCCCGCAUUUCGUUCCCUCCUGUUACAAGUCUCCGGUCAGGUCAGUUCACUUGACGAUUAAUUCGGCAAAUCUCGAAUCUCUUCUCUAUCCCUCUCGUUUUCUCGUGUCUCCUUUCAGUUUAAGUGAUUGAAUCAAUUUUAUCGCAGUCUUAAGAGAAAUUAAGUAAUGCUCUUGGAUUUAAAAUUUUUUUGCUUUCGACUUUAGAUCUCGAAAGUCAAACUCUGCUACGAAUCCAUAGAUUCUCAAUGUUUAUAAUCUUAUUUGUGUUUGACCAGGUAACUGGAUCGUGAAAUUCGUCGUUUUGUAUCAAUUCAAGCUUUCGCGAGCUCAUGGAAUCCCCUGGUGAGUUGUGGUGAAACGUUAUCGUUUCAAUUUUCGCUUAAUUCUUUAUUGCAUAUUUUUUUCUCUCUAAUAUUUCAGUUUAAUUUAGAAAAGAAAGAGGACCCAAAAAGAGAGAGAGAGAGAGAGAGACUCUACCAUACUCAAUUCCUUGCUCAUUCUGAUUUGGCCUGAAUGUUGGCAUUGACUAUUAUUUGUUUUCAUUUCGAUUUAAUUCUCAUUUAGACAGUCUUUUUUAACUAGCAAUAAUCUUUUUAAGGAAAAUGAUAAUAGGGAUUCUGCAAUAAUCUUUUUAAGGAAAAUGAUAAUAGGGAUUCUGCAAUAAUCUUUCUGCAUUGUUCAAGUUAGUAGACAAUGAAUAGGGUGUUUAUGUUUACCUCAUUUUGAACCCUGAGGGCUUCGUUGAGUAGUUGAUCCAACAUAUCCAGCACCGGUUGAUGUGAGAACAGGAUGCCAUUUAGAUAGGCUUAAACUGAUUUUGGAGGUUUGUAUUCAUUCUAUUGUAUGUCUUGCUUACAAAUUUUUUAUUUUUUAUUUUUAAUUUUGUAUAAUAUGCUCUUUGUUGGUAAAUCUCAUUUGACUUAGAAGAGAUAGUUUUAUCCCAACAGUGGGAUAAAUCAUUGAGAUGCAUGGCAGUGUGAAUAUAGUAGACAAAAUCAUUGAGACAGAUGGUGGUGUGAACAUAGUAAACUUUGUCAAACACAGCUAAGAUAAACAAAUUGUUUCAUUAGCCUUUAUCUUAUCUGCUGUGAUGAUUCAAAUUAAUGCUGUUUGGUAGGUUGCAAAAAACGAAAUGAGCUGACUGUUCAUAUUAUUUAGUCAGAUCUAUUGCAAUAAGUUGAAGUUCACUGUCACAUGGGUUGGGAGUAGCGUGGGCUGUGAGUAGUAGAAUGGAUUUAUGGAGUUGAUACAAGUGCCCAUAAUCUAUCAUGUCAUUCUAGGAUUAAAUGGAUUGCACAUUACUGUAAAGAUGGAGGUUAAAUUUAUAUAAUUCGGAUUGAUUGUAAAAUGGGAGGCAGAGAUGAGUUAGAAAAAAAAUGACCUGUGUCCUUUUUGAGCUGUUUCUAAAUCUCCCUGGUGUGCUUCAUGCUUAACACGUGUCUGUCCAAAUAAUUUUGCUUAACCUGUGCUUGUCUACUUCUUGUGCUAUUCUGUGCCUGGUCCUGAGCUGUGUUGGUAGAUUGACAUAAUUUUGCUCUGCUAAAUGUAUAACUUAUUAAUCAGAGUCCUGUUAUUAUGGUUUGACACUACUGACAUGUUGUGUUGGUAUUUAUUUGUACUUCCCUUGGUUGAAUUAUUUGCUGUCUCCAUGCCAUUCGAUAUGGUGCUACUUGGUUUUUGAUCAUCCAUGACGCUAUAUAUAUGUAAAGGAUGAAUUGAUUGUUUUGGCUUGUAUUCUCACAUUUUAUGAUUGAUCGAUGGAAAGGUCUUCAUGUAUUAAAUUCAACCUCACAAGCGUAAGAUUGACAGAUUGUGGGAAAAUUUUCAGGAAAAGAAACUAGACUUCAUGGAAGCAAUGAAGCUUGAAAUUGAACGUCUGCAGCUGCAUCUUUCUGCAGCUGAAAGGGAUAGAGCUUUAUUGUCAAUUGAAACUGAUCCUGCCUCUAUAAAUCCAAAUGUAUUGCUUGAUGAAUCUUACAUGGGAAGACUGUCGAGUAGCAACCACUCUUGCAUUACUUGGCCAAACUUCCCUAGAAGACAAAAUUGUUGGUGCAAUUGGCCUUGAGAAUAGUGAUGAUAGUGUUUUAGACUUCUGGAAUAUUACUAGAAUCGGAGAGAGUUGUUCUGGUGGCGGGUGCAAGGUUUGUGCAGAAACUAAGGUGCCUGCUCUUGCUUCCUCAACUGCAACAUCUGUUGGAGCUUCACAAUCCCCUUUGUUGUGUUCUCAAUGUGAAAGAAAAGUUUGCAAAGUUUGUUGUGCAGGAAGAGGAGCUCUACUGUUUUCAAAUUAUAAAUCAAGGGAUGUGACCAACUACAAUGGCUUCUCAAGUCAGAGUGGAUGAAGCCAUGGAAGCCAAGUUGAUGUAUCUACCAGUCGUUCACUAACACUGGAUGGCGUUAUCUGUAAACACUGCUGCCAUGAGAUUGUGCCUGAUGCAUUGAUGUUGGACCAUGUUAGGGUCUUGAUUAGCUUGCGAAGAAGUUCCUGUGCAGACAACGCAGUCAUACAAUGCUUUGAAUGAGGUUGUUGGAUCCUGCUUAAAGGAUAGUGUUUCUGAAAGGAUUCAGUCUUCCGAUAACGUGCAAGCUGCUGAAGUCCUUCACCAAUUAUGUGGUGGACAGGAAUCACUUGCUGAAUUUCCAUUUGCUAGCUGUUUGCACUAGGUAUGUUCUUGGUUUGUAUUCAGUUCUCAUCAUGUUAUGUUUUCCUUUUAAAUUUCUUUUCUUGAUUAAAAUUUUUAGAAAUAUGUUUUAGUAUUUGUUCUUAUGAUAUAUGCCCAGAACAUUCAUCCCACUUAUCCAUGAGAAUCCUUGUCUGGUUUGAUUUUCAAUUGAGACAUUUUUGGGAACCCUGAGCAGGUUCCAUAUGCUAAUAAUCUUUGAGGUAAGGUGUUGUAGGAUGCCUUGAGAAGCUAAAAACCUAUUACAAGGAAAAGCUCUUGCAUUGUUUUGUGGAAUCUGUGUUGUGAAAAUAGGUAGAGAAAAAGUUUAUGGAAUAAUUCUCUUAUUUCAUAUGUUCAUGAGACUGUACACAGUCUUUAUAUAGGGAUACAAGAGACUAAGAAAGGAAAGAAAAAAUUAAAGCAGAAUAUUACACACUGAUUUCUAGGAAGCAAUAACUCUAUAUUUACACCAAAUAUACACCUAAAUAUAUAAGGAAAACCAAAUCAAUUUGAUUUGGUCAACCUUUCAACACUCCCCCUCAAGCUGGUCUAAAAAUGUCUUUCAUGGCCAGCUUGCAAACCAAUUUCUCAAAAUGUUUCUUAGGUAGUCCCUUGGUGAGUAUAUCAGCAAUCUGCUCAUUUGUAGGAAUGUAGGGCAUGCAGACCAAACCACUGUCCAGUUUUUCUUUUAUGAAAUGUUUGUCCACUUCAACAUGUUUAGUUCGGUUGUGGAGUACUGGAUUAUGUGCUAUUGCAAUGGCAGAUUUGUUGUCACAAUAUACUUUCAUAGGUAGAGAAUUAUUUGCCUUAAGUUCUUCAAGAACUUUUUUGAUCCAAAAAACCUCACAAAUUCCUAGAGCUACUGCUCUAUAUUCUGCCUCUGCACUACUUCUUGCUACCACAGUUUGUUUCUUGCUGCGCUAAGUGACCAAAUUUCCUCCGACAAAGGUGCAGUAACCCGAAGUGGAUCUUCUAUCGGUUACACUACCAGCCCAGUCAGCAUCAGUGUAGACUUCUACUUGUAGGUGCCCGUUUUUUCUAAACAAAAGACCUUUACCCGGAGAUCCUUUUAAGUAUCUAAGGAUUCUAUAUACAGUUUCAAAGUGUUCUGGUCCUGGAGCAUGCAUAAACUGGCUGACUAAGCUCACUGCAAAGGCUAUGUCCGGGCGUGUAUGUGAAAGGUAGAUUAAUCUACCUACAAGGCGUUGGUACCGAUCUAUGUUGGUCACAUCUUCAAUAUUAGCUGGCUGUAAUUUCAUAUUAGGAUCUAUGGGUGUCUCGGCUGCUUUACAUCCGAGUAAACCUGUCUCUUCAAGCAAAUCAAGAACAUACUUGCGUUGAGACACAACAAUCCCAUCUUUUGAUCUAGCAAACUCCAUGCCCAAAAAAUACUUCAGGUUGCCUAAGUCUUUGAUUUCAAAGUCACGUGCAAGCACUUUCUUUAAUCUGCAAAUCUCAACUAAGUCAUCACCAGUCAAAAUUAUAUCAUCUACAUAUACAAUUAACACGACUAAUUUCCCUUCAAUAGAAUGUUUGUAAAACAUUGUAUGAUCUGCCUGACUUUGGGAGUAGCCGUGUCCCUUUAUAACAUUACCAAAGCGUUCAAACCAUGCUCUAGGAGACUGUUUGAGCCCAUACAAAGACUUAUGUAGUUUACACACUUUACUGUUGCCAUGAUUUCCCUCAAAACCUAGUGGUAAAUCCAUAAAGACUUCUUCUUCUAGCUCCCCAUUCAGAAAAGCAUUUUUAACAUCUAACUGGUAUAGAUUCCAAUCAGAAUGUACAGCCAAUGAGAUAAGGACCCGGAUGGAAUUUAUCUUUGCAACGGGGGCAAAAGUUUCUUGAUAAUCAAUUCCGUAGGUUUGAGUGAAUCCUUUUGCUACAAGCCUUGCCUUAUAUCUCUCAACACUCCCAUCAGCAUUACAUUUAAGUGUAAACACCCACUUUCAACCCACAGUUUUCUUUUCUUUUGGUAAAUCCACAAUCUCCCACGUACCAUUCUUCUUUAGAGCAUUCAUUUCCUCUAAAACUGCUAACUUCCAAUCUGGGUGGUCUAGGGCUUCUUUUAUGGUUUUAGGAAUUGGUAUUUGAGAGAUUUUUGUGGUAAAGGCUCUUUGUUUAUUGGACAACUUUUCAUAGGAAACAUAUCUAGCAAUGGGGUGCUUAGUACAGGUUCGGGUUCCUUUCCUAUGUGCUAUGGGUAAGUCAAGAUCAGGAAAAAAAGUGCUGAAAUGUUUAGGAGAAGAAAUGUUACCUGAAUUUUCUGAGGAAUCAGUGCUUGGAGGCAACGAUUGAGGCUGUAUCGAGUUUAUGAGAGGGUCUUUACUGUUGUGAUGAUACUUUCGAGUAUAAACACGCAGCUCUGGUGGUGGAAUUUUAUCUUGUAGUAUUUCUCCCCCUGUCUCUGGUACAUUAACACUUGGUUCCUGUAGUUCAAGGUUUCCUAGGUUUUCAUUAUUAGAAAUAUCAGUUUUUUGAGUUUGAGUUGGAGUGCCCAGAUCAGGUAAAAACUGAUUAGGCAUAGGUGUAGAAGUAUGCCAAAAAUGAUCUUCACUAUUUUCUUUCUCCCCCUGAAGAGAAUUUUGGCCAAAAAAAGGUUGAUUUUCGAGAAAUAUAACAUCCAUACUGACAUGGAAUUUCUUUGUUUGAGGAUUGAAACAUUUGUAACCUUUUUUAUUAGGUGCAUAGCCCAAGAAAACACAUUUUUCAGAUCUAGGAUCCAAUUUAGAUCUAAGAUGGUUAGGAACAUGAACAAAUACAGUGCACCCAAAGACUCUUAACUGAAUAUUGGAGGUAAUCCUACUAGAAGGAUAUAUAAGUGUGAAGUAUUCUAAAGGUGAUUGAUACUUUAAAACACGGGUAGGCAUCCUAUUAAUCAAAUAACAUGCUGUUAAAACAGCAUCACCCCACAAAUAUUUAGGAACAUGCAUAGAGAGCAUGAUAGCCGACUAACUUCAAGUAAAUGGCGGUUUUUUCGUUCCGCAAUUCCAUUUUGUUGUGGAGUAUCACGACAAGUGGAUGUGUGAAUUAUACCCUUUUCCUUACAAAACACCUCUAGAUAAUUAUUAAAAUAUUCAGUACCAUUAUCUGUAUGGAGUAGACUUAUUUUUGUUUGAAAUUGAUUUUCAACCAUGUUAUAAAAAUCUUUGAAUAACCCCUCAACUUCAGAUUUUUCUCUCAUUAAAUAAACCCAACAAAGCCGAGUAUGAUCAUCUAUGAAUGUUACAAACCAUUUUUUUCCAGUUAAAGUGUUGAUUUUUGAGGGUCCCCAAACAUCACUAUGAAUUAAAUAAAAAGGUUUUGAGGCACGAUAAAUAAGUGCUUUAUAUGAAACUCGAUGACUUUUAGAUAAAAAACAACUUUCACACUGAAAAGUAGUACAAUCAACAUUUUUAAAUAAAUUUGGAAACAAAUAUUUCAAAUAAGGAAAGCUAGGGUGUCCUAGUCUAAGGUGCCAAAGCAUUAUUUGAUCCCUAGCAGAGUUUGAACUAAUACUACUGCUCAAACCUUGAGUUUGUUUAUUCCUUGAUAAGUAGUCAUCAAAAUAGUAAAGACCUUCUCGCAAACUAGCACUGCCAAUCAUCGUCCCCAAGUCCCUGUCCUGAAAUUCACAAUGGGAGUCAAAAAAGACAGCACAACAAUUAGAAUCUUUGGUUAAUUUACUGACAGAUAACAGAUUGCAAGAAAGUUUAGGGACAUGUAGCACAUUUUUAAGCUCAAUGGUUCCAGAGAUUUUUAUUGAUCCUUUUCCAGCUAUGGAAGAUAAGCUUCCAUCAGCAACUCUUACCUUUUUGUUACCAGGGCAAGGAUAAUAGGAAUCAAAUAAACUAGAAAUGCUAGUCAUAUGAUCAGAAGCACCCGAAUCAAUAAUCCAUGGUGCAGUAGUUGAGUGGCUAAAUAGAGCAUUAAUAAUACUACCUGUUUGGGCUAGUGAACCACUAGGAGUACUAGGUGGAGGAUUAGAAGUCAGCAGCUUUAUGAGAUGGUCAAUUUGCUCCUUGCUGAGAUUUUUUUCUAGAUUCUCCACUUCAUUGGCAGACGCACGGCUAUGCUUGCUGUUUUUCCAAUCUGCAGGCUUUCCGUGGAGUUUCCAGCAAGCCUCCCGAGUAUGGCGUGGUUUAUUACAGUAAUCACACCAUACUCGAGGUUUUUGUUGCUGUUGAGUGAUGGAGCGGGUAGCAUUAUCUGCUGUAACAAGGGCAGAUUUUUCCACAGAGACAACGGAGUUCUUUUUUCCCAACAUAACACCUCGACGACUUUCUUCUCUCCUUACUUAAGAGAAAACAUCCUCAAGAGUAGGAAGUGGCUUUCUCCCAAUAAUUCUUCCUCUUACCUCAUCAAAUUCAACAUUGAGCCCAGCCAGGAACUUGAAGAUUCGCUCAUUAUUGACAGUUUGUUUGUGGUGUUUAAAAUCUUCCAUGCUCUCCCACUCGUAGUCGUUGAAUAAGUCCAGAUCUUGCCACAAUCUCUUUAGAGUAUUGAAGUAUUUUGUUAUACUAUAAUCUCCUUGACGGAUAUCUCCAAGAGCAAGCUGCAACUCAUAGAUCUGGGACUGAUUUCCAUAGUCAGAGUACAUCUGACUCACAUUAUCCCAGAGUUCUUUUGCAGUAGAGUAGCACAUAUAAUUUGCACCAAUGUCUUCAUCCAUGGAGUUGACUAACCAUGCCAUAAUCAUGGAGUUUUCGGCAUCCCAAACACCAUAAGAGGGAUCAGAUAUUUCAGGAGCCUUAACAUCUCCGGUAAGAUAACCAAUCUUCCCUCUUCCCCUAAUAUACAUUCUAACCGACUGAGACCAUCUUUGAAAAUUUCCUUCAUUCAGCCGGAUAGUUGUAAUCUGGACAGAAUGAGAUUCAGAAUGGGAAAUUUUUGGUUCUAGUCUUUUUGAGGUGACUGUGGUUUCAGAAGAUUGGUCAGACAUGGUAGGGAAGAGAUCAGAAAGAAAGGGAGCCUAGCUCUGAUACCAUGUGAAAAUAGGUAGAGAAAAAGUUUAUGGAAUAAUUCUCUUAUUUCAUAUGUUCAUGAGACUGUACACAGUCUUUAUAUAGGGAUACAAGAGACUAAGAAAGGAAAGAAAAAAUUAAAGCAGAAUAUUACACAUUGAUUUUUAGGAAGCAAUAACUCUAUAUUUACACCAAAUAUACACCUAAAUAUAUAAGGAAAACCAAAUCAAUUUGAUUUGGUCAACCUUUCAACAUGUGUGCUAGCAAGUCAUGUCUCUAAUAAUUUCAUAGUUUGCUUGAUUGGAAUUUUUUAUCUUGAUAUGGAUUGUUUAUUCUAGAUUCCUUGGUGCUGUAGGUUGAAACAGCAAAAGAUUCAGCACCGAUUUUGUCACUGCUUGCUCCAUUAAAUUCUGGAUCAAGGCACUCAUAUUGGAGAGCUCCACCUUGUACUACUUCUGUUGAAUUUGUUAUUGUUCUCUGUUCUGUUUCUGAUGUCAGUGGGGUUAUCUUGCUUGUUAGUCCUUGCGGCUAUUCUGUGGGUGACACUCCGAUGGUAAGUGCCAUAUUUAUUCCCUUAUUUCCUUGUUGUUCAAUAAAUUUGGUGAUAAGCCAAGUGGCCUUAAUAAUGAAGCCCAGUACCAGGGGUGGUGGGUAAUCGAUAUUCAACUUGUGAAUAUUCCUAAGCAAGCACUGAAUCAACAUAGACCUCGGCAAAAGUUCUCCAUGCUAUUAUAACGAAAGUCAUAUUUUGAAAUGAUUAAAAGAGUCCCUGUGUAGUGCUAUUUCCAAAGAAAUUGCAGCUGGAGGUUUAGUUUCAUGUAGGUUAGUUUCCGAUAAUAAACUUUCCAUUUCAUUAAUUGCUGAUGAAAAAACCAAGUAAGAACAGUUUUGUUGCUCGUCAUUUAUGUAUAUUUUGGUAAACUGUAAUUUUAAAUUCUCAACGAUCUUCCCUUUGUAGGUAAGAAGAUGGUCCACUCACUUGAUAUUUAUGAUUGUAGAUCAGGUUUCUAUUGGUUUGCCUUUAUCAUUCGGAACCCAAGUUUGAUAUUAACAGAGAUCACGUCAAUAAUAUCCUAUUUGGGUAGAUGUGGGUGAGGAUUUAAAAUCAAAUUUGAAAUUGAGGGCAAAGAAGAGAAAAGAAACCGCAAUAAUUAAACAAAAUAUUAGGAACUAUUCUGAUGAGUUUUAAUCUCGAGAGGAACAAUUUUCAAAUGCAAAAUUUAACUGCUAGAGAAAUUGUAGCUUUUUGUCAUUAGUUAAGAGGAAAGAGAAUAAGAACUAUCUGGCCCUUUCCUUCAUGAAUGUGUGUUGAGGUUGCUGUAUUAUUUAGUCAGUAUUUGUAAUUUUCUUCCCUGCAGUGCUCUCUGCCUCCUGAAUUUGCUACUGAGUCCAUAUUUUUCUUUGAGCUGUUGCUUCCUAUUGCUGUUACAGGUACAAAUCUGGGCAAGCAAUAAGAUACACCGGGAGGACAGGUCAUCAAUGGGAAAAUGGGAUGUCCAAUCCCUCAUCACAUCUUCUUCAGAUUUGUAUGGUCCAGAAAAGUCUGCUAGUGUUGAAAAAUUACCUAGGCAUGUAAAAUUUACUUUUAAGAAUCCUGUUAGGUGCCGCAUUGUUUGGAUCACAUUACGUCUUCAGAGACCUGGUUCGGCUUCAGUUAAUUUCGGGAAUGACUUCAGUCUUUUGUCUCUUGAUGAAGAUGAAAACCCCUUUGCACAAGUAGACAGACGUGCUUCAUUUGGAGGAGCAGUUGAAAAUGAACCAUGUAUUCAUGCCAAAAGAAUUCUUGUAGUCGGAAGCCCAGUAAAAAGGGAGGGGCUUACCACAUCACAGAGCUCUGAGCAGCUAAGUAUUAGAAACUGGUUGGAUAGAGCUCCACAAAUGAGUAGAUUCAAGGUAUUAGUUGCUUUCACUCUUUGUUCAUUCAUAAUUCCAGCUUUCUGCUUGAUGCCUUGCCUCUGAUAAACCUCUUUUUUCUCUUCAGGUCCCAAUUGAGGCCGAGAGAUUGAUGGACUACGAUCUCGUCUUGGAACAGUAUCUACCUCCAGCGUCACCUUCGCUUGCCGGAUUCCGUCUAGAUGCUUUCAGUGCAAUAAAACCUAGGGUUACCCAUUCACCUUCCUCAGAUUCAGAUAUCUGGGACAAAUCAGUAACAUUUUUAGAAGACAGGUACAUCUCUCAAGCUGUGUUGUAUUUACAAGUAUCCGCACUCCAGGAACCACAUAACAUGGUAACUAUUGCGGAAUAUCGACUGCCGGAGGCUAGAGCCGGAACGCCAAUGUACUUUGAUUUCCCACGACCGAUACAGUCCCGACGAGUUUCAUUCAAGCUUCUUGGAGAUGUUACAGCAUUUGCAGAUGAACCUUCAGAACAAGAUGAUUCAGGAUUGAGAGCUCCACUUGUGGCCACAGGUUUGUCUUUGUCAAACAGAAUCAAGUUAUAUUAUUAUUGUGAUCCUUAUGAGCUCGGAAAAUGGGCAAGCCUUUCUGGAGUUUGAUCGUUAUUUAUAUGUCAGAGAAAGGGUUUUGGGUUUGAUUUUGAUUUUGAUUUGUAAUUUUUGUCAGUUUAUUGAAAUUUUUUGUUGUAUAAAAGCAGAAUGUAAAGGUAUAAAAAUUCAUUGAUGCUGCAAUGUCUGUGCUUUUGAGAAAGAAAGAAUUCUAUGGCUUUUCUAUGCCAUUGGAUUUUCCACUGCCUGUAAACUUGGGCUGUCGAAUGCUCUGUGAACCUUAAGGGCUAUAAAGUAAUUUUCAAGACUGAAGGAUUUAUUAAUCGAGUUCAAAAGAUUGCAAGUUGGUGAGCGUUGGCAUUUAAAAAAUCAAUUGUUAUUCUCUCAAUAAUCUCUGUCUUCUGCCGACACCCCAUGCUCAGAAACCCAUUGUUCCGACGGACGUGUAACACUUCUAGAAAUUGUUUUGAUCUCUCCUCGUGAAGUGUUUUCUUUUUCGAGUGAAGGUGGUUUUCUACUUGCAUACGUCGGGGGUCUUAUGAUAUGUAAUGUGUGAAAUUUCUUUCUCAUUUUACCAUAAAGAAAAAUGUUGUAAUAAUCUAAAGCUCGAGUCUUAAAUUAUCUUAAAUUUAUAUUUAGAGUGGAGCUAUUCGCAAUCCUACAUUAAAAUUACAAAUAAAAAUAAUUGAAAAUUAAACACUUAUAGAUUUUUUUUACAACAAAUUAUUUAAUUCAUAAUCAAUCCUUUAAAAAAAAAAAUCCAUAUGUUACUUGCUAUCUAACUAAAAUAAAUUUUACAAAUUUAGAAUAAUCUAUUGAUUUCUUUUGAUUUCUUAUUAAUUAAAUAUUUUUAUACAUAAAAUUGCUUUGAAAUUAUAAUUUGAAAUAUGUGUUAUUUCAGCCAAUGAUUAACACUAAAAAACUUAUCACCCAUAUAACUUUUUAAUUUGUGUGUAGGGUAAUAAUAAAAUCAAAAAUAAUUAAAAAAAUAGUACAAUAAUGAGUUUUAACAAUAAAACAAAUCAAAUGAAAAUUGAAAAUUUAGAAAAAAUGUAUCUAAAAAAGGGAACGUUUUUUAAAAUAAAAUGAAUAUAACUAAAAAGGGGUUUUAUGAGAAGAGCAGAGGGGUGCCAAUAGUCCAACUUGUAAUUAAGAAUCUCCCAUUAUAUUGUCAACCAAAAAGACACUUGAAUAAGAAGAAGAAUUUAUCAGUUUGAUUUUAUUUAUAGAUCCAACAUUUCUCAUAUCCUAAACGCCUUUCCGUAUCAAAUUAAAACAGUAGUCGCAAAAUCGUAGUAUUAAAAUCGUAGUGCACAUUCAAUUAACCAACUAAUAGUCUUUGGUAUAAGAUUUUAUAUUAGCUAGCCAAGUAGGUUGUCCAUCCCACUCAGACAUGAACGAAAGCUAAAUUCAUCAAAUGGUGUUAUACUAUUAAAUAUUUUUAUAUUUAAAAUUACUUUGAAAUUAUAAUUUCAAAUUAAAAUAGUAGUAGCAAAAUCGUAGUGCACAUUCAAUUAACCAACUAAUAGUCUAAGAAGCAAAGAGAGGAUUACAAGUUCACAACACCAUUACAAAGGAUUCAAAAUUCCCACACGAAAACAUCAAUGUACAGAUUAUAAACAAUCCGAAUUGGACACAAGAAAAAGCCCUUCAAUGGAUUGCUUUCCUUCCCAAUGCUAUAUACUGUGCAAACUCCGCACUGGCCAAGAAAAUGUUUUCAAUUUAGUGUAUUUUCAAAUUGCUUAUUUUCUCAUAAUAUAAAAAAUAAAAAAGAAUCCUUACAUGUUUCAUCAGCAUGAUUAAAAUCAAAGAAGAAAGCGAAGACGUAAUGUCUCUGACAUAAUAAAAUUACAAAAAUUUCAAGGAAAAAAAAAAGGUUAAAACAUGUAAUCUUCAGAAGCAUAUAAUAAAAGAACACUUCCACAAAUUACUACAAUUUCAUGCAGUAGAGAUUGAAGAGUUGAAUUCCACUAAUUUUAAUAAUGAAAACAACAACAGAGGAUUAACUGAUGCUUUGACUUAUUAGCAGGUUGCUUUGACUUAUUAGUUCUGCAGCUAAGUUAAAUAAAAUAAGCUAUUUUCAAAAGCAAAAUGGAAUACAUAGAUAAAAACAUCAUCUUAAACAAAUCACAAUCUAGAAUUAGAGCAUUUUCGACAUACCUAAGGAACACGAAUACGUGAAAACGGGUGAUUUAUUUGUUAAGGAGUGUUGAUUUGGUCGUCUCUGCAAAUUCUUUAGGGACUCGGUUCCAAUUCCUCUUCAUCAAAACUGUAAUAUAAUUCCCCUUCAUCAGAACUCGAAUCGAUGCAAUAUAAUUCCCCUUCAUCAGAACUCGAAUCAAAUUCACUUGCAGCAGUUCCACUCGCGCUUGGCAAAUCAUCCAAUUUCCAAACUUCGGUAACAAAAUUGAGAGUAAAAGUGUUGGCUUUGAUCUCGCUGGGAUUUGCAUAUACUGGACAUACUCCGCAACGUUUUAUCUUCUGACCCUUUUGGACCUUUAUUAUGUUUCGGUGACACUCAUUGAAGAACUUAAAUGUGGCAGUUGAAUGAUGGUCACCAUCAGGAAAGCCAACAUUCAAGCAAGGUUUAAAACCAAGUAUGACAUGAUCUGAAUCAUGGGGGUCUUGAAUUGAGUGCAAAUUGUAACCCAGAUGAACAUGUUUGGUUUCAGAGAGAGUCUUUAUUUCUAAGUCGGAUCGACAGUAAACGUAAAAAUAACGAAAACGAUCAGAAUAAAGUUGCUUAAAAUCAAGAACAGCACAAAAAGCAAACCCGAUUAAGUUUCUGCAAAAAGAGUGCGGUGGCAGUUGAAUACGUAUCGAAGAUCCUGAACUUUGAUUGCUGAACCAGUCAGGAAUUUCGCUCCCAGGUAAAACAAUUUGGGAUCCCCUGAGUUCAGAAAGUUUCUGCGAAACGACAUUUAAAAAAAGAAAAUUGUAAAAUGAAAACCAUGAUUUCAGAUAUAACAAAGAGGGACAGAGUAAACAAGAGAGGGAAUUUGAUACCUCGUUGUAUGCAUUUUCAUAGCCCAGUCUCAGUGAUGCUGCAAUUGCCAUACGUAGUGAAUCUGCCAAAAUCUUGUUGUUUGCUUUUCCAUCAAGUUUCAAGCAGUUAGUAAACUCAAAACAAAUUGGUUGUGGCGUCACAUAUUCCGGAUGCCAUUCACGAAGGUCAGGAGAGGGUUUGGAUAGCUUUUCGAGUACGGAUGCAUCUAGUUCUUGUACACAUGACGGAAUCUCUGGCAAAGAUUGAAGCCGGUUGCAGUUCAUUGCUUUUAGUGACUGUAGACACAAUGGAAGUUCUGGUAAUGACCGAAGCAUGUUACAAUCCUCCAAGUGAAGAGUUUCUAGACCCAAUGGAAGUGCUGGUAAUGACUGAAGCAUGUUACAACGCCUCAAGUAAAGAGAUUUUAGACACAAUGGAAGUUCUGGUAAUGACUGAAGUAUCUUACAAUCCCUCAAUUCAAGAUAUUUUAGACACAAUGGAAGUUCUGGUAAUGACUGAAGCAUAUUACAAUCCUCCAAGUUAAGAUAACUUAGCCACGACAGUUGCUUGAUACUUGCAGGUAAACUCUCAAAGUUAUUUCCACUUAAAUUGCCAAUGUUAUCCGGCAACUUGUCAAGUAUAGAGCAACCACUUACGGACAAAAAUGAAAGCCCCGGUAGAUUUUCAAAUGGCGAUGGCAGCUCUGUAAUUGCCGUCCAGACUAAAUAGAUGCAAUUUAAAUGUUCCAUUUUCUCCAAGAUUUCUGGGAAACGCUCAAGGUUCAAGCAGCCAAAAAGAAAAAGAUCAACCAAAGAUCUCAAUUUACAGAACCUAGUUGAAAUCCUCUUCAGCCGUUUGCAAUGCCCCAAAUCCAACACUUCAAGAUCAGUUAGGCACUCUAUUGAUGAUGGAACUUCUUCUAUUGCAGACUGGCCUAAGGAUAGCUCUGUGAUUUUCCCAGAAAUCCGUGGAAACUCUUUGAGAUUAACACAAUAGGAGAAAUUAAUAGUUACUGGACAAACAAAAUGAAGAUUGCUUGGAAAAGACCUAAGACUUUUGCAGCCCUCAAAAGACAACGCACUGAGAUACUUGAAAUUCUGGAUAGAUGAGGGAACACAAGCCAAGUUUGUAUAAUCCAAAAGAUUUGUUUCAACAUUUGGGGUUUCUAAUGGGCCUGGCAUCUUAAUGAAAUGUCGAGAAUGAUUGAGGUUAAUAGAUUUUAACUUGAAAGCUUCCUGCAAUAACAGAUAUAUAAAGACUAUAUUAAUUAAAAAGCAACAUUGAAUUCAACAAUUAAUUGCACGUAUGUUUAAAGAAAGAAAAAAAUUAAUGUUUUAGUUUUAGUACAAAACUUACCUUUUCUCCUUCCCAAAGUUGCUCAACUUUACUAAAACGCAAAUUCAGUUCAACAAGGUUCAUUGGCUUGAAAUUUGAUGGCAGUGUCCUUAAUGGAUAUGUGUCCCAAUGAAGAUAUCUCAAUUUUUUAGGAAGAUAAUCUAGGCCAUUUGGAAGCUGCACUUUAGAGUAUGAAAGUUGCUCUUCAAUGCUCAUACUUAGAAACCUUUCAAUCUCAGGUACAUAAAAUUUGAGCAAUCUUAGAUUAGACAUUUUUGUGAAGGCUCCUGGGUCUAAAUUGAUGCCUUUUAUUUUGGACAAAUCCAGAAAUAUGCCUUCAAUUGCAUCGGUCCCCUUAUUAAAAAAAAAAAAAACAAAGAAUGAGUAACCCUAAAACAGAAAAGAAACAUUCGUAAACUUUAUUAACUAAGAGCUUCUUAAACAAAAACAAAUUCUGCAAUCUUUGAUUUUAUUUUUUUAAUAUAUUAAAUAUCUAUAUACGAGAAAAGAAAAUUUUGGGGACCAUUGCAAAAUUAAACUAACCGAAAAAAAAUUCAAAAUUUCUCUAAUUUACAAACCUGUUAUCUUAAUAACUAGAAGUUGAGAAGACAAGGCCUAUUUGAUUGGUAUAAGAUUUCGAUUUGUUUUUUAGUCCAUAGAAUCCAAAAUGUUAGUUCAAAAUUAGGGAAAAAAAAUGAAAGUUAUUUUUUUUCCACUAGUUGUAAUUGUUUCCAAGUCAAAUUGAGAUACGACCCUUUUCGAAAGGAUUUAAUCAUCUUAUAGCCUCCUUAAGAUACAUUUAAGCUAAAAGGAGUGAUUGGAGGCAGAACUAGGUGGGCCAAUCAGUCCCUUUUAUUAGUGACUGUUGCUUAAAAAAAAUUAUACUCUAAAACACACUUACUUUUUUGAAAAAAAAUAUAAUUAUAUUGAAGUAGAACCAGGUGGGCCAAUCCUCAUGGCACUCACUUUGUUCUGACACUCUUCACUAAAUUUGAAGAAAAAUAAAAUUAUACUCUUCACACUCUUAUUCAACAUUCCAAAAUUGAUAAAAUCUAGAGUUUUCUUUAAAAAUUUAAAAUUUGAAGACUUGUUCUCUUGACAUCCUCAGUCAUUAAUUUCACCUAAUUAUGGUUUUUAUGAUUUUGGUUGUUUUGUUCAUAAAACAAUUUUACUAAAGGAUGUUCUCGUAAUAAUAAAAAUUAUAAAAAAAACAUGGGUGUGCUGGUAUGGUUGGGAAAAUACGAGUACAGAACUCCAAACAAAUAAAAGAUUUAUAUAAAAAAAAAUGGAGGAUUCUUACCAUAUUAUGCUUUAGUACGCGGCGGAUUUCCUUAGGAUCCCACAACCUACUACGUCUGCCUGGCACUUCCUCAGAUUCUUGGCGAACAGUCUCUUGGCCCAUUUCUUGCAAUAAAUCAUGCAUUUGCAAGCGGUUAUCUGACACAGUUAUGAGUGACUUGUCGACGAGGACAUCCAGUCUGUGAGACCCAGAAUCAUCAAGUAUCCUUAACACAAAAUCUUUAUCCUCUCCCUCAAGGAAACACGCAAUAUCUAGAAACAUACUCUUCACCCUGGGCGUUAAUUCUUUAAAACUAAUCUUUAAUGUAUCAUAAAUACCAUGAAUAUCAGAUUCACAAAUCCGAUUUAAGUCGUGCAAUACAUUUUCCCAAUGGCUUUUCCUCUUGAGAUACAGGGAGGAACCCAACACUUUAAGAACUAAUGGAUUGCCAUCAGCAUACUCUACAACUCUCCACGAGUCACGUUUGAAAUCUUCAGGACGAUGCUUUUCUUUAAAAGCGAAGUUACAAAAGUGCUCGAAAGCCUCAUCAAAUUUCAAUCCAUUGACCCUAUAUAUUUUCUCCACUCCAAAUUUUUCGAGGACUCGUUUAUCCCUGGUGGUUACAACAAUUCUACUUCCUGGACCAUAUUGAUCAAGCCCUCCAAUCAAACCCUCUAAUUGUUCAUCUUUAUUCACAUCAUCGAGUACAAUCAACACCUUCAUGCGUCGGACCCUCCCUUUAGUAAAUUGUGGAAUAUUGGGACCAGCUACUUCAAGUUUUUCACUUAAUAUUGUCGAAAGCAUUUCCUUUUGUAGGUCUUCUAGGCCACCCUCUGUUUCUGAUUUUCUCCUAACAUUUUUUGCAAAGUAUUUACCAUCAAACUCACCAGCGAAUUGAUCGAAAAUAGCUUCAGCAAGGGUAGUUUUGCCUAUACCGCCCAUACCCCAAAUUCCAACAAUUUGGACAGUAUCCGACAAAUCCAUACACAAAAAUGGUUUAAUCUGCUCAAUUCGUGAAUUUAAUCCAACUAGGCCGUUGGAUGAGUCCGUUGAGACUGUUAUUUUUUCCAACUUCUUCAAAACAUCUUCGACAAUUUUGUUUACAAGUUGCGCAUCAAGCCUAAUAUGAAGGUGCAAAGAUGCAAAAACAUUGAGUCAAAUCGGGCCAAGACAGAAACAGAGAAAAGAUGAAUUAGGAAAGAGAGUUACCUGAAUUUCGUGGAUUCAUGGCCGGCUAGAUGGGAUGUUUCUGUCAGUGCAUCCCUCCACUUCUGAACCAUUUCUUGUUUAUCUUUGAACUGUUUUUUGAGCUCAUCAAAACGGUCUCCAAAUGUUCCGUUUUGAUGCCGCACAUCAGAUGGACUUACUCCAUAGAAGAAUGGAAUAAUAAUUUGGCCGUUUGUGUUCUUGCAUUCAAGAAUCUUGACAAGUUCAUUCAGGCACCAUUUUGAAGAAGCGUAGUCCUUCGAGAAAAUGACCACCGAAAUUUUUGAACCUUGGAUUGCGUUCAAAAGGGCGGGUGAAAUCUCAUCUCCUCGCCUAAGCCCUUCAUCAUCAAUAAAUGUUUUGAUUUUCUUUCCUUCAUACAAUUUAUCAUAGAGAUAGCAAGUAAAGCUCUUACGAGUGUCCUCCCCUCUAAAGUUGAGGAAGACUUCAUAAUUGGCACAAGAAGAAGAGGAAGCCAUGAAGGAAAUUUUAGAAAAUUGGUGACAGAAACAGAGAAUUAAUCUUGAGAGUUGAGAGAGGAGAUGUAAGAAUGAACAUGUGCGAAGAUUCUUGCGAGUACAUAGUAAAUAAUUGAAUGGCUGGAGCUUUCUUAGUUUCCUGGAAAUUUCCUGGAGCUUUCGUAUACAUGAUUUGUCAAGUCAUGAAACAUAAUCAUGAUAAUGGGGCAGACCGAAAAGAAAAGCAACAAUUCAAAUAUUUGAUUCAACCAGUAUAAAAAGGAAGGAAAAGCAAAGAAAGGAAAUGUUGAAAGUAGAGUUAGGGAAUUAUAAAAAGCUGAAGGAAAUUGGAAUUUUGUACAAUUUCUCCAGCGAGGAACUUUCACAGUCGUUACCUCAUUGUUACAGUUUAGAUUAAGAUUUGAGGGUGCAAGCAUUUACCUAGAUUUUACCUCCGCACUAAAUUCUUAAGUUUGAAAAAUUAUGAGACCUUUAUAUUGGAAGAUAUUAUAAUCGAAUCAAAACUUAAAAUUUUAAUAUUGUUAAUCUUUAAUCUUUAAAAAAAAUUACCUUGCCGUUACAAUUUGGAUUAAGAUUUGAAUAAGCAUUUACCUAAAUUUUAUCUCCGCCUGUAAAUUCUUAUGUUUUAAAAAUUAUGAGACCUUUAUAUUGGGAGAUAUUAUAAUCGAAUCAAAAUUUUGAAUUUCAAUAUUAUUAUUCUUUUAAAAAAAAUUUGAGAUAACAGAGUGAUUGAUAAUAGAGAACUUGUCUAGGCAAACACAUGCAUACACAAAAAUGUGAUGGAUUCAAAAAGAAAUUAAAGUGAUAAUGUACGUGGAUCCUUAAAACAAAAAGCGAAAUCGCUUGGUGGCCCAGUAAAAUUAAGACUGAAUAUUUUUUACACGAGAAGUGUAGCUCAUAAAUGGCAAAAGCCAUUUCAUUUCACUUUUACGCGUCAUUGACUUUUGUAACAUGGUGCAUGCAUCGUCAAGUGAGGCAAAAGGGUUUCGAUUACAGUGGGAAAACAUGAACAAGAAUGCAUAAUGAAUAAUUCCUUUGAUAAAGCGAAAAUUAAACACAGAAUAAUCCUAAAAUUUAAACUCUAAUAUCUUAUAAUUUAAUGAUUAAAAAUAAUCCUAAGAGUUCCCAAUUGAAACUUUCAGAGAUAAUAGAAAAUAGCUAUGCUUUAAAAGGCCAAAGAUUAGAGAACAAAGAAGAAUUAGGUAUUGAUAUAAAAAUUAUUAAUUUUUUUGAUUUCAAGCAAAAAUAGUUUCAUAUACCAUUUCGAUUUUGGUAGGGGUGAGGUUUUGAACUUCAAUAGUUUCCUCUAAAAUCAAAAGGUAGUAAUUAAGUUAGAAAGAGCAAAGAAGACUUAUCGGUACCUUAUUGAAGGUAAACAUUAUGGAACUUUCAAUGUCAUUACCCCACUGUUUAAUUUUUAUUGAGAUUUGUGCAAGCAUUUACCUAAAUCUUACCUCUGCCUGUAAAUUCAUAAGUUUUGAAAAUUAUGAGACCUUAUAUCGGGAGAUAUUAUAAUCGAACUAAAACUUAAAAUUUCUUUUCUUUUUUUUUUUUUUUAUCAUAAAAGGGCUCUUAAGAGAGCUAAGGCAACACUAAAUGGGAGUGUGCAACCCCAUGAACAUCAUUAAUCAAUAUGUUUAGCGUAUUUGGAGGAAUAGAUUGAAAGCAAUGUAAACCCAAAGGAAAAGAAAAGCUGUACGAAGUAAGGAAAUCUGCUGCUACAUUGGUUUCUUGGUAGAUAUGAUCCACUUUGAUCAGCCAAUCACGCCGAAGGAGUUCUUCGAUGGCCUGAAUGAGAGUAAAAUGCUCAUUGACGGGAGGGUUUGAGUUAGAGAUUAACUUCAUAACACACAUGCUGUCCACUUCCACGUAAAACUUAAAAUUUCAAUAUUAUUAUUCUUUAAAAAAAAAUUGAGAUAUCAGAGUAAUAUCACAUAGAAAAACUUGCCCACGGACGGUAAGCCAAAAGUCUAGUCAACCACAUGCAUAAAGCUAAGUAGAACAAGAGAACAGAGAAACGCGUGGGUCCCUAAAGAAAAGGCAAGCACAUAAAUGAAAAAGCCAUUACAUAUCUAUUAACACGGUGUGGCAGCAUAUGCACAAUCAAGUGAGGCAAAAGGGAUUCGAUUAUCGUGGCAGAACAUGGACGAGGACGCGUGAUGAAUAAUUCCUUCGUUAAAACCAAAAACAAACGCAGAGAAAACAAUUUCUUAUAUGACAAGAAAUCAAAGUAAUGUGAAGGAACAUGAUGAAGAAAUUGCAGACUGAUCAAUUAUCCCCAUGGACUCCUAUAAAUUCAACCAAAAUAACAAUUCGAAUCUUACCAAAUUCUUGAGUUAAAUUUAUUCAAUGCUUUUAUUUUUUUAGAAAAUUUUUUUCCAAUGCUACUUUUCCUUUUUUGGGGAAAUUAGAACCGCGGCAUGUAUAGAAAACAUUGAGGUGUAAAGCAACAUUAAUUUCAUGGGAUAUGCGUUAUACGCAUAAUAUAUUUUCAGUCCAAAUUCAACUAUACAAAGAGGCUUGAGAACUUAAAAUUAAGCACAAACUAAACAGACGAAGUAAAUACAUGAUUAUGCAACAUAACAUUAAUUCUCUCAAUUGAUAACUGUUUUUGCUACAUGAAUCUUGCACAGUUAAUCCUAAUUGAAGACUAAAAAAGAGCAAUUGGAAGAAGGUUUUGGAAUAGAAUGGUAUACAAUCGAUAUGAUCCUUUUCCAGUAGUCAACGCUAAUUAACUGCAGUUUCUAGACUCCUAAUUAUACUAGCCAUAGCAAACUAUUUAGAAAACUGGUGAUCAAAUUAGAUUUUGAAAGGAAAUAAUGUUCAUUUUCCCUUCGCUGCCUUUUCUUUUCUUUUCUUUUUAUAGCAAAGAAUUAUAUCAUGAAAAGAAUCAAUUUAAUCACCUUUUCCAGCAGCCCAAUUUUUCUUUUAUAAAAUUUGACCACGGAGACAAAGAAGAAUUAUUCAUAACUUCAUCACUAAGGAAAUACUUUUCGGUAUGGCUAGGGUGAGAAAAUGCUUUCCACUAACACUUGUACUUUGUAUUCUUGUAAAUUUUCUUUAAAGUCAAUAAAAACCAUAAGUUCUUUGCAAUAACCAUCUCUUUGAUCAAAAAGUGCCGUAUUCCUUUAGAAUUUAAAACCGGCAAAACCGAAUCAGUGUCUUUGAAGAGACAUAAUGGUCGUAAUUCUUUAAAUGAGUUGGCUAUGGAAAUCCUUAUCCAAGAUUCUUUUAUGCCAUAUUCUUUCGUAAACCAAAAUUCAUUUUGAAAUACUCUAUUGAAAAUGUCAAAUAAAACGGCAUUGAAGGAAGUUUUCAAAGGCAUAAUCCGCACUUGUCAAAGGGAUGAUCUGCACUUGUCAGAGACACGAUCCGCGUCGAACGAAUCGACACAUUUCCUUUCGUAUUCGCAUAUGUAAUCUUUGAAAAAAUGUAGCUUCCGCAUCUAUAAAUAACGCUCAGUGUAUAAUGUUUUAUUCAAGAAAAGAAAACAAAUUUCUUCAUACUCCUUGUCCGAACAUACAGAGACAGUCUCUCAUAACUUCAGCCGAAUACUUAUGAUGAUGAUCAUUUGUGAUUUCAUCAGGCAUAGGGUUGAUGGUGAAAAAUUUUGUAUGUGUGAAGAAUUGAGCUGUGGAUAUAGGGGACUUAAGUGUAAUCGAAAGAGAGUUAUUAGGCCAUAGUGCAGAUUGCAUUCAGUUUAUGGGUCGAUAUGCAAAUAAUUUGUUGACGUGGCGAAAUCUGUUAUGGUCGUUACUAUUGUUUCUGGAAAUUUUCUAGAAACCUCAGCAUAAAAGGGGCUUUUGCAUAGCCUCUGGUGUGCGUGUGAUUUCUCUUUCGUUUCCUCAUCAAAUUCUGUAAUUCUUGCUUUGAUAAAAAGCUUGUAAUCAUUUCUGUAAUGUGUGAUCAGUGCGUAAUCAUUUUGAGCAAUAAAAGCUUGUGGGUUUUUCCUUCAAACAGUGUCGUUUUGGUCAGUUUGUUAGUUUGAUCUGUUGGUGGAAUUUUCUUUGGUUAUUUGUUCUCAAAUUUCAACCGUAUAUAAAGUUUGAACUCUAAUGGCUUAUAAUGUAUUGAUUAAGAAUAAUCCUAAGAGUUCCCGAUUGAAAUUUUUAAUGACUAUUUUUAUUGUUUUGGAUAUACAAAUUGCAUUAAGAAAAAAUAUUGUCAAAUUCAGAGGAUAACGGGAAAUAAUUAUGCUUCAAAAGACCAGAGAUUAGAGAAUAAAGAAGCAUUCAUUACUGACAUACAAAAGAGAAACACUCCAAAAUUGCAAGCAAACUAGUUUCAUAUACUAUUUGGAUUUUGGAAGGGGUGAAGUUUUGAGCUUCAGUUGUUCCUCUAAAUAGCAAAGAAGACUUAUUGGUACCUUACUGAAGCUAACAUUGUGGCACGGUUGUUCAUAUGUAAUGGCUGCUCUGUUAUGGUAGCUUCUCUGUUUUUGCUCACAGUUUUGAACAUGAAUUCUUGCUCAAAUAACCCAUAAUUAAUUAACAUUAAAAUGGCUCGUGAAAUCCCAUAAUAGCUAAUUACGCAACUUUCUCCUCCUCCUCAAUUAUGUCUUCCCCUGCUCGUACAAUAAAUUCAAAAUUCAAUGCCCCGAAAAACAACACAAGAAAUCUUUGAGUUAGUUCGUGACCAGUUUAUAUAUAGUAGCAAUUGAAAAAAGAAAAAGAAGAAAAGAGUUAAUUAUUAUUCAGACCUUCACUUAUUAGGAAGUUUGUUCUGCUAUUGGGUGAGGUCAAGCUCUCAGCAUAUACUUCCACAUGAUACUUUCUAACAUUUUCUUGAAAGCCAUCAAUCAUAAAAUCUUCAUACUUUUUUCCAUCCUUUGGAUCAAUGAGUACAAAUUUCUCAUCUAAAACAGACAAAAUAAAAUCACUGUCCUUCAUGGAACAUAAUGGCUGCAAUGCCUGAACUGAAUUGGCUAAUGAAACAUAGUCUUCUUUUCUUUCUCGACAUGGAACAUAGUCUUCUUUUCUUUCUCGACACAUGUCUCUGUACUUUUCUCUCUCUACUGAUCCACACUUUUUCAUACUUCUAACUAUCAUUUUGUUUUUUUUUUUUGAGUUGUGAUUUAUUCAAUUAUUUUGUAUUUUUAAUGACAAUUAUUUAAUAUUUAGUUAGUGUUGAUAUUGAUUAGUGAUUGAAAGUGUAUUUUAGAAGACUUCCGGUCUCUUGAAAAAAGGAAAAAUGGAGAAGAAGAAGAAGUGUUCUUGAUUUUUUUGUAGGCAUUAAAGUUAAACGGUUUGAAAUGAUAUUUUGUUUUAAUUUCACUCAUUAAUCUCAUUCAGGAUAAAAUUAUAAAUGCAAAUAAAUGGGGUUUCAUAAGUAUUUUUAAUAGUGUUAAAAGGUCUACUAACUAAAUAAACAUGUUUUACCCAAACCAAUCCGAUUAAUAAGUUAUUGGGUUGGGUUGAUCAGGUUAAAAAUCAAAAUUAAAAAUUAAAUAAAUAAAUAAGGCAUAAAAACUAUAUGUUACUUGAAAAUAAAAAGAAUUUCUAAUAGUUAGUUCUAAUGUCCCAUAUCCAAAACAUGCAUAUUAAAUAAAUAUUAUAAGUUAGAAAUAAAAUAUCCAAGAAAUAAUGAAUGAAAUACCAUAUUUUUGUUGAGAAUUAAGAGUGUGAUUUUAAUUUUGAUAUUGGAGUCUAAAGCAAUAGAUAGUACAAUGAAAUCAUGAAUGCUACGUUUAAAUAAUCUCUUUUAUAAAAUAAUAAAAAGAGGUUAAAAAUUAGGUUAGCAUUUAGGGUUUAGCAGUUAAGGAUGAACAUAUUAUUAUUGUUGUUGUUGUUGUUAUUAUUAUUAUUAUUAUUAUUAUUAUUAUUUACAUAUUAAUUAAUCCAACCCAACUCAAUUAUUAACGAAUUUGAAAAAAAAUGACCAAAUUAAUCCACAAUAAUUCAUUCAACUCGUCUAAAUUAGAUUAGAUUGAAUUUGAUUUGCUACACCUACAUUGAGCAACAAACCUCAACGCGAUUCUAUGAGCUCUUUGAUUGUUUAUAAAAUUGAUUUAGAGUACAUAAUGGAGUGUAUCGACAAUGAAAGUGCAAAACAAAUUAUUGUAUACAUUAAAAUCUGCAAAACAAUGAAUUAUAUGUACGAACGAGUGCAAACACAUUUUUCAAUAAGAAGUUAAAAGAUAUUUAUGCAUGAAAAAGCAUACGUUUGUAGUUACUCUAAAUUUUUUAAAAAAAAUUUACAUUUAGAUCCCUAAAAUUUACGUAUAAGUACAAAAGUUUCAAAUAUUGUCUAUUAUUUUUUAACAUAUGCCUAUUCCUUGUGGAUAAUUCUGUCUCAUCACUAAUGUUGUUUCUUGCUUACAAAAAACAAAUGUCAUCUCCUUUUACAAUUUUUAUAGCGUCUCAAAAUAGACAAUGGGGGGAUUUUGAAUUUUUUAAGUCUCAAGAUAGUCUCUAAUCUUGUGAGAAAGAUUUUCUUUCAAUAAUUUGGAGGUAAAGAUAACAUAAUUUUUUGGAUAGUGUGCAUGUGUAUUUAAUUAAUAAUUUUUUAAAAAAAUACAUCAAAUAUUAAUAUCCAUGACAUAAUUUAGUUCUUAAUUUUUUUUAAAUACAUCAAAAACAUAAUUUUUUUUAACAACUUAUAGGCAUGACAAAUUUCAAGAUAUAAAUAUCAGUCAAAAUAAGUGAAAGAAAUAAUGGUGCCAAUUCUAAUUUCUUAACUAAAUUAAUUAGUGCAUGAGCCCCGAAUACGACACGAGAGUUUGAUGGGCUAACUUGGCACAAGAACGUGAAUAAAUAAUUGAUUUAAGAAAUAAUUCAACGAAAAAUAUAAUUGAUAAGAAUUCAGUAUUGAAAUGAGUUUUUUUGUGAAACACUGAAUUAAUGAUUAUUAAGCAAGAACAAUAAAAAAAUAAAUAUUAAUCAUUGAUAAGUUUCAACAAAAACUUAACACAAUCCUCAAUCCUCAUUCAAAUGAUAAAUGUCAUUCAUAUAUUCAUUAUAAAUCAACAACAAAGGUUAUAAAUGUUUAGAAAUUCUAGAGGGAAGGAAGCUAUCGCCGGACAAUCAACAACUAAAUUUGAUGUAAUUGUGGCACGAGAUGGAAUAUGGAAACUACACCAUAAUUUCAAAUGCCGCCAUAGACAUUGACUUAUCAUAAUAACAAUGAUCUAAUUAAAAUAAAAACAAAGUUUAUGGGCAUUUAUUAUUUUGCCAUUCCUCAUUUGCAAAUAGGGAUAUAAUUAUAAUUUUACCUAGUCAAAGCAAUCGGUAGUUUUCUUCAUUAUAGGAGUGAAGUAAAAACAUUUAGAUUUCAAUGUAUGUACGGAAAAAUUUGUCUUUAAAAAUACUUUCUUAAUGUGUGUAUGCAUAUUGAAAUACUCAAACCAAUUUUGGUUAUAUAUAAUUAAACAAAUUUUAAAAUAUGAAAAAUAUAAUGUAGUUAUAGUGGAUAAACAAUAAGUGAGCACAAUAUAAUUAAUCAAAUAUUAUGCCAUCAAAAGUUAAUUUUAGAAAUUCCAAAUCCAAUAGCCAACACAAUUCUUUUUUUUUUAAAAAAGUUGACACAAUUAAUAAAAUUAGCGACAUGAAUUUCACGCCAUUGAUAAUCAGCAAUUAGUAUUACUUUCUAAACUUGCUUCAACUGGUCGUUGAUGUCCGGGUCACCAAAAGUAUAAGCGAUAAUAAGGGGCAUUGGGCAAGAGUGAUGAAUGUUUAGUCGGUGCAUUUGAUUGAUAGAUAUAUAAAGGGCCGAAACUUGAGAUUAUAUUACUUUUACAAAUUUUAAUCCAAUCACAUAUUUACUGAAAACAAAAUGAGUUAGGAUACUUUAUUUAGAACCCACAUUUUAAUAAGGCUUCAUUUGAUGUAGUUUUUCAAACAGUGAUUAUUUGAGUAAAGUUUCCUCAAUAGAGUUUUUAUCAAAUAAAUUUUAUUUAUUUGGUUGUCGAUAAGAACUUUUAUUAAAAAUUAUAAAAUUAUUUAAAUAAACAUAUUUUUUAAAAUUACAUUAUAAAAAGAAUUAAAUAAAGUUAUAAAAGUAAAAUAUAUUUUAGAUAUUUUAAUAUUUAAGAAAAAAAUUUUGAAUCUCUACUUUCAGAAGCUCAAAUUUUUAGUUUUUAGUUGUAGAGACAAAAUAUCUUAUUUAAUCUUUAAAAGUUCUGCUAAAAACAAUCAAAUAACUAUAAAAUUUUUAAUAAGAGUAUAUAAAAUUAAAUAAGCAUUUAUUAAUAAUCACUUUAGUGUACUUAUCUAAUGACCAUAAGUGUUUAUUUAAUCUCAUAAGUUCUUAUUUAAUCUCAUGAGCUCUUUUCAAUUUUUUUUGUUGUUUGCUUUUUUUAGUAGAGUUUUUGAAAAUUAAAUAAACUAUUUUGUCUCUAUUAGGAAAAACUCAAAUUUUAGGUUUUUGUGAGUAAAUGUUUAAAUUUUUUUUAAAAUAUUAAAAUAUUAAAGUAAAAGUUGUAGAGACAAAAUAUCUUAUUUAAUGUUUAAAAGUUCUGCUAAAAAUAAUCAAAUAACUACAAAAAUUUUAAUAAGAGCAUAUAAAAUUAAAUAAGCAUUUAUUAAUAGUCACUUUAGUAUACUUAUCUAAUGACCAUAAGUGUUUAUUUAAUCUAAUGAGCUCUUUUUAAUUUUGUUUGUUUGUUUUUUUAGUAGAGUUUUUGAAAAUUAAAUAAACUAUUUUGUCUCUAUUAGGAAAAACUUAAAAUUUAGGUUUUUGUGAGUAAAUGUUUAAAUUUUUUUUAAAAUAUUAAAAUAUCUUUUCUUUAUUUCAUAAUCUUAUUUCAUUCUUCACAACAUAACUUUAAAUAACUCACCUAUUAAAAUAAUUUCACAAUUUAUAAUAAAAAUUUUAAUUGACAAUCAAAUAACAAAUUUUUUUUUAUAAAAACUCUAAUAAUAAAAAUUCUACUUAAAUAAAUUAUAUUUGAAAAGGUAUACCAAACGAACCUAACAUAAAAACAAAAAUUUUUACAUCCACACAAUUAAGCUUAAAACAAUUUCAAAUGAAUUUUAGACUACUCAAAGUACAAUACGUACCAAGUUUGGUAACUUAUUGGGGUCCGCUUGUAAUACAGCGUCUGUAUCUCAUACAGCCAAAUUUAAUAAUUUAUUAAGAAAAAGGGCAACCAUUAGAUAGAAGUAGAUACAUCCAACGGUUAAAAUGUUUGAUUACUCAUUUUGGCGACCGGAUAUGCCAGUUAUUAUUUCAUCAAUUAACUUACCUAAAAAAUCACAGCCGUUGGAUUGAGAUGCCUCUCUUUCCCUCAAAAUAACAGCCUUCGUAUUCUCUCUGCUAUUGUUUUCUCCUACAUCCAGAAUUUUGGAUGAAUGAACUUGGUAUUCAACAAUAUUCACCACCCAUCACAGCAAAGAGCAAAGAUGUAGUCAAAGGAGUGCCAUUUAUUCAGGCUAACUCGAUCUGUCACUCUCGCUUCAAUUCGUCACUCAUUUUCUCGCGCUCAGCUUCAAUCUAUCACUCUCAGCUUCAGUUCGUCACUCACAGCUUCAAUUUUUCACUGUCGUGAAUCAUCUCUCUUGCUGUAUCUCUCUCUUAUGUCUUCCAAUAAUUUCGGUGAGCUCUCUCUCUAAUUUAAUAUAUGAUUAAAAAUCUUAUCAUCUUAUCAUGUCAUUUAAAUAUGCUUGAAGUUUCAAUUUAGUUUAUGAAUAUUACUUGAAAUUUCAGUUUCAAUAAUUUGAUUUUGCAAUUGAGAAAUUAUUACUUGAAAUAUUGAGAUGAUUUCUAGGGAUUGAUAAUUGAAUGAUAAUUGCUAAGGCUUGUCAUUUUUUGUUUUUGAACAGAUAGAGUUACAAUUAAGUCAUACUGCAAUAUUUUAUCUUGAGAUUCUAUUAUUCACAAAAAGAAAAAAAUCAUAAAUUGAAAAAAAAAAAAAAGAGGUUACGAGCAUCAAGCAACUGCAAGUAAUGGGGUUUGUUUUGAUGAGCUGCGAAUUGGGGCCUGUCAUUUUCUUGAAGUAUCUUCAAUAUAAGUGGAAGGAGAUUUCUUCUCUCCAAAAAAUUAUUGUAUAUUUCCUUUUAAAUUCUAGAUUCGCAUGUAGCUGAUUUUUUAUGUUUGAAGGAUUUUAUUAAAGAAUGUGCUGCUGCUAGUGGCAUGAAUUAAUGUAGUCUCGCUAGUAUUCGUGAUUUGGGGUAAGGAUCGAAUUGAACAAUUAUAUUUCUAUUAUUCUUAUAUUCGAAUCCAGUGAUAUUGUGGUGGUUUUAUGAUAAUAUUCAAUUGUUUUGUGCCUCAAAUCAGCCAAUGAGUUGGGUAUGUGCUGGGUAUAUGCCGUAUGGGCUUGUUGUUGAAUUUGCUUGACCUUGGAUGUGAUUCUUGCCGUGUUUAUAAGAAAUAGACACAGGUCUUUGUGUGGUAAUAGAAUUGUCUAAGGUGCCUUACAAUAAAUUUAAGAGUCUUAAGUAACUAUGCUUUGUAACCUUAAACCUUUAUUUGUACGACUUGGUGUUCUUGGUUGUGAAAGAAUGUUAAAUGUUGACCUAUUUUCAUCGGUGAAGAUAAAUGAAGUUAGGGAAGGUUUGUAAUCACUAUAACCCUGACAAUUUUUUUGGUGGGCCGUGAUAAUUUUAUUCAUGGCAUGUACUUUGUUUUUAUCAGAAGGCCCUGUUUGCUUGUAGUCUCAAAUCUAGGGUAAUAUUUUAAAUAAGUUCUGCAAUAUAUGUUUUGCUAUUUUUCUUUUUUGUUUUUAUUUUAAUUAGUUUUAGUAUUACUUGGAGGGGAAUUCUGAUCUGCUGAAGUUUAUCAAGCUGGUGCAGUGGUGCAGCAAGCAGACCUUUAUCUUAAUCUUAUGAUUGUGCUAAGUGGAAUUUUGUGUAAGUUACAACAAUAUAAUUUUUUAAAGAGCUGACAAGACGCUCUCUCUUUUUUUUGGAAUGUUGAGCAAAACUUUUCUUUCUUAUUAGGUGUUUAUAAUAAUUCAUAGCAUGGGUUUUGUCAUAUUGGUUUCAAUGCAUUGAUUUGAUCUUGGUUACAACCCAUCAGCCCUUACUCCUCAUUCCCAGCAGCUUUUAAUGCCUUUUUUUUAAGCAUUGUACUUUGUUUCAUGAUGAAAUUUGUUUAUAUGACGCAAAGUUGAGGACACGGUAAUAGUCAUUAUUUUAAUUUAUGCAACAAAGAUCAUUAUCCAUUAAAUUUUAUGUUGUUGAAAUAUUUAGAUUUUGUAAAUUUUGUUGUAAGAAAUGAGGGCUCUUGAUCCCAUCCCUUUAUUAUAUACAAUUUUUUUUCACUCUGUCAUUCAUUUAUUGUGUGUUAGAGGUAUUAGUCAUGUGCAAAAGUAAAGAUCUUUAUUUUGUUAUUUUUGUCAUCUUGUGCUUCAUUGGUAUAAAUGAGGAAAAAAAAGAAUAAAAUAAAAUAAAAUUAUAGUUUGUGCAUGAAUUCCACCAUAUAUGAAAUGUUUAAUAGAUUAAAAAGUAAGGAGUACACAGUGACUUUGAAUAGCAGGUGGGGGAACUCAUUUUGUUUUAAAAAAAAUUAAUACAUAUUGAUAGAAUAAUUAUCCUUCACUUAAUUAUUUAAAAAUUUUAUUUUGGAAGAAUACAAAUGGACAGUCACCAAUGAAAGCGUAAACGACUACCAGGGGGCUUACAGAAAAAAUUGCUCCUAUUCUAAAAGUAGAUGGUCAGGACAAAGUUCCAACAACUUCAACUUAUGGAUUUGUCUCUUACUUGUAAGGUAAUCUCUUCUUGUAGGGUGUUUAAUUGAAUUAAAAACAGAAUAUUAUUUGCAUUAUAGAGUACAGGCAUAAAUUCAUUAUCUAUGUCAGUUCAUUCAUGAUUUUACUCCAAAUGGAGUAAUAGAUCACCAUUAAUUUAUUGAUACAUCGUCCAUGUUUGUUUUCGUCUUCAAUUUUUAUAUUACAAUAUCUAAUCUAUUUAGUAUUCGUAAAAAAACAUACGAGAAAAAGUUGGAAAAACACUUUAGGGGUGAUUGUGUACACUUUCGUAUGGCACAAAUAGCGUUAGGCUUUGUUUUUUAAGUGGACGACGUGUCCAUUUUUUGUGUUACAUCUUACUCAUUAAUAUAUUUUUGAGUUUCUUAUGGAAAAAAAAUUGAAAAAACACUUUAAGUGAAAAAAAUUUGUAUUUCAAUUUAUAUGUAACAGUGAAUUGGAAAAUAAAUUCUACCAAUAAUUAAAAGAAUACUUUUCUUUUAAUUAUUAAAAAGAUAAGGUAGUUACUCAUUACCCAUAUAAAUGGACAGUUUUAAUUUGUUCCAUAUCUAUACAACAGAAGAGCUUCAGACACGGUUUGCAGCGUUCCACGAUCACUUCCAUUCUAAGCAGCAGCGUCUUCCGUCUUUUUGCACACCAACAGCAGAUUCUAGAUGGCCAGAAGCUCAUCUGCCGCACUCUCGGGAUUUCGCUGCCAUCCUCAUCUUCAUCUCCACUACCUCCUCAGUGAUUAUCCCCUGGUUUUAUGCUCAGAAAUUAUGAUUAUUAUGUAUCUUGUUUUCAGAUUUGUCAAUACUUGUUAUAUUUUGAUUAUGCAUUAUGGACAUUUUUCAUAAGAUAGCUUAAUUUUGUGGUUUGUGUUGACGAUUUCCAUGUAUGGAUGUUUGGAUAGGUAAUUUCGCCUUCCAUGCAUUCUUCAUUCCUGCAUCCUGUGGGAGAAAAUUGGAAAAAGUGGUUUUUGAUGAGAAACGGGGAGAAGGAUGAGAUAUAUAUUUUUGAAGUGUCACAUUAUUUCAAAAACAAACCCCAAAUUUAAUUUCUCUUACCGAUCAUGAGUUAAAAUAUAAAAAUUAACGUUUACUCAUCACACUGUUAUAAGUAUCAAAGCAUUACUUAUAGAAAAAUUAUCGUCACCUAUCCUACAUUUGUGAUUGAAUAGUGGCACAAUUUUAAUUGGGAUAUUUAACAUUACUCUUUGUAAUUGUUUGGUCUUAUUUGAAGUUUGUAAAUUUUUCAUAACUAUGACUUCAACAGCAUAUUUCAGGUUGCAUUUAAUCGUUGCUAUAAUUAGGUACUUUGAAAUAAUUUAUUGGCCACGAUUACAGUCAUUGUUAUUAGUCACCCCUCUUUUUUCUCUUUUGGCCAACCAGCUCUUGGAUAUUUGGGAACCGAUGACAAUAGUUGGGAAAUUAUGUAAUAUUGGUGUGUUUGCGAAAUAAAUCAAGAGAUUUGCCUUGCCGAAGUUAAAAGAGAUAUUGUGGCCUGAAUUUUUUUUUUUUUUCUCUAGGGGCCAUGGCUCUCAAGGACAAGGCAUGAAUCAUGCAUUAUAAUUGCUCGAAAGGGUUAGUAAAAUAGCAAUCUAAAAUACCCAAGUUGGAUCUGCUGUUGAAUCACAAAAAGAACAUAAUUGGGAUAUGAAGUCAUGGUUGCAAGUGUUGGACCCUUAGGUUACGUUUGGCACGUAGGAUUGGAUUGAACUAAUUACUAAAAUUGGAUUGAAUUAUAUUCGAUUGGAUUAAACUGGAUUAUAUUAUAUAGUUCUAUGGUUAGUACAAUAUCGGAUUAAACUAUGUUAAAUUAUAUUUAAAUAAUAUUAAAUAGCAUUUAAGUUGGUAUUUUAAUAUUAAUAUCAAUUAUUCAUGAAAUUUCAUAAUCAUAAUUAAAAUAAAUUUAAAAAACAAUUACCAGGAAAAUUAAAUAUAUUGUAAAUAAGUUACUGGGUAGUCAUAAUACAGUAAACAAAUGAACAUAGAUAAAAAAAUUAAAUUUUAAAUAAUUUUUAUCAAAUUUUAAAAAAAAAUUAUAUAAAAUCAAUUAUUUAAUGGUAUUAUUAAUUUUCAUGAUUAUUUUUAAUAGUAUAUAACAAUGAUUAUUAAAUUUAAUACAAUCAAAUAAUGCAAUAAAUAAUUAAACAUUUAAUUUUAUCAAUAAAUUACUAAAUAUACAAGUGGUGAAAAUUUAAUCUCCAGAGUUAGUACAAGUAAAGGUAUUAAUUUAAUUAGAUCAUAGAUAAUAAAUAAAAAUAAGUUUUAAGUAAAUCAUAUUAAAAAUUAAUUAAUUAAUUAAUACUAGGUGUAAAUAAAAAAAAUGAUAUAAAUAAAAAUCUCAUAAAUGGACAACUUUUUUCUUUAAUCUUAUCCCAACUAAACCCAUGCGUAAAUUAGGAUUAUCAAUUCCAUGAUUUUAGGAUUAAAUUUAAAUUACUACCCCCUUAAUCCAAUCCAACUAAGCUUGCCAAACAUUGGAUAAAUAUUUAAUUCCAAAAUUAGUCUAAUCCCAUACUUAAUCCUAGAAUCCAAACAUGGCAUUAGCACCUUAUAUAACAAAGUGUCACUGAAAUACAGCAAAACGUUAUAAACAAGAACUUAUUUCUGUACAAAAUGUUAUUUACUUUUUGUGAACUUCCAAAUACCUACUAUAUGAUUUGCAAACCCUACAAAAGUCUACCUUGCAUGCUCUUUCUAACGUGAAAUUUGAUUUUUAUUAAAUUUUUGAUGUGUUCACUAAUAAAUAAUUGGAAUCUAAAAAAAUUAGAAAAAAAUAGAAUUAGAAUGAGCUACAAUAAAAAUGAGGAAUAACAAAAAAAAUGAUAUUUGUUGAGAUGAAUGAAACACAAUUGAAAUACUCUAUAUCGCUCUUAAUAUGUUCACUUUGUGAACAUAAAUUAGAAUUAGUUGUUAUAACUUAGUAAUUUAUCCUCAAUCAAUUAUUAUCAUUAUUACUAUUUGUUAUAAUAAUUGUAAUUAUUAUUUUUGAUAAUUUUAAUACUAAGAAAAUUAUUGUUAGGGGUGGAAACACCAUAUAGAGAAGGAACAAUUAAAUUUAUAAAAUUUAGUGGGGAUAAAAUAGUCACUUAAGACAGCAAGCGUCUCCCAUUCUCACCUCCACGAGCAUGAAAACACUAGUAAUCAUUCUUAAAUUUUGAUGGAAUCUGUUGCUUUUAUUCUAAUAACGAACGCAAAACCUAUGGAAUUAGUUGGAAUAACGAAUGCAAAACCUCUGGAAUUACAAUUGAAAUACGUCAACCCAAAAUGGAGAAAGCACAACUAAAAUUAGAGACCUACAAAACCAAAAAUAAACUUAUAGAAAACAAACCCGGUACCUAAUCUCAAUAAUUGGAAUCUCAACCAGUUAAUGGAAAUAUUCAACUCAAAAUUAGGGAAAAAUUAGAUGAAACACGUGAACCAUUGAGAGAGAAAGUAUGACGAAAAUUAGAAACUCAUUUAACGAAAAAUAAUAUUUACUUGGAAUCUAACCCAUGAUACUGGUACCUAAGGAACUUUAUAGGAAUAUGAAACGCAAAACCAGUGGACCAAUAAGUUGAAACAUGUGAACCAAAAAAUGAAAAACUAUAACCAAAUCUUGAGACUAAUCAAACCAAGCAAAAGUAAUAUUGAUAUUUAACCCAUAUAAUUGGAAUUUUACCAAAUUAGUUGGAAUAACGAAUGUAGAACUUGUGGAAUUACAAUUGAAAUACAUCAACAAAAAAUGGAGAAAGCACAACCAAAAUUAGAGACCUACAAAACCAAAAAUAAAUUUAUAGAAAAUAAAUUUGGUACCUAACCACAAUAAUUGGAAUCUCAACCAGUUAAUGAGAAUUCUCAACGCAAAACUAUAGGAAAAAUUAGCUGAAACACAUGAACCAUUAAGAGAGAAAUUAGAACGAAAACUUGGAACUUAUCCAACGAAGAAUGCUCGUGACUUGGAAUCUAACAACAAAUAUUGGUACUUGACUAAUUUAGUAGGAAUAUCAAAUGCAAAACUCAUUGACCAAUAAGUUGAAACAUGUAAACCAAAAGAUGAAAAAGUAUAACCAAAACCUGAGAAUAAUCAAACCAAGAAAAAGUAAUAUUGAUUUUUAACCCAUAUAAUUGGAAUUUUACCAACUUAAUUGGAAUAACGAAUGCAAAACCUGUGGAUUUACAAUUGAUAUACGUCAACCCAAAAUGGAGAAAGCACAACCAAAAUUAGGGACCUACAAAACCAAAAAUAAAGUUAUAGAAAACAAACCUGGUACCUAACCUCAGUAAUUGGAAUCACAACCAGUUAAUAGGAAUAUUCAAUGCAAAAUUGGGGAAAAAAUUAGAUGAAACACGUGAACCAUUAAGAGAGAAAGAACAACGAAAACUAGGAACUUAUCCAACAAAGAAUGAUAGUUACUUGGAAUCUAACAGUAAAUAUUGGUACUCGACGAAUUUAAUAGGAAUAUCAAACGCAAAAAUAGUGGACCAAUAAGUUGAAACAUGUGAACCUAUAGAUGGAAAAGAAUUACCAAAAUUUGUAACUAAUCAAACCAAAAAAAGUAAUAUAGAUAUCUAACCCAUAUAAUUGGAAUCUCGACAAAUUAGUUGAAAUAUUAAACAAAAAACUAGUGGAAUAAUAGUUGAAACACAUGAACCAAAUGUGGAGAAAGUUUAACCAAAUUUUGAAACUUAUCCAAUGAAGAAUGCUAGUUACGUGGAAUCUAACAACAAAUAUUGGUACUCGACGAAUUUAAUAGGAAUAUCAAACGCAAAAAUAGUGGACCAAUAAGUUGAAACAUGUGAACCUAUAGAUGGAAAAAUAUUACCAAAAUUUGGAACUAAUCAAACCAAAAAAAGUAAUAUCGAUAUCUAACCCAUAUAAUUGGAAUCUUGACAAAUUAGUUGAAAUAUUAAACGAAAAACUAGUAGAAUAAUAGUUGAAACACAUGAACCAAAUGUGGAGAAAGUUUAACCGAAUUUUGAAACUUAUCCAACGAAGAAUGCUAGUUAUUUGGAAUCUAACAACAAAUAUUGGUACUCGAUGAAUUUAGUAGGAAUAUCAAACGCAAAAAUAGUGGACCAAUAAGUUGAAACAUGUGAAUCUAUAGAUGGAAAAGCAUUACCAAAAUUUGGAACUAAUCAAACCAAAAAAAGUAAUAUCGAUAUCUAACCCAUAUAAUUGGAAUCUCGACAAAUUAGUUGAAAUAUUAAACUAAAAAUUAGUGGAAUAAUAGUUGAAACACAUGAACCAAAUAUGGAGAAAGUUUAACCAAAUUUUGAAACUUAUCCAACGGAGAAUGCUAGUUACUUGGAAUCUAACAAAAAAUAUUGGUACUCGACGAAUUUAGUAGGAAUAUCAAACGCAAAAAUAGUGGACCAAUAAGUUGAAACAUGUGAACCUAUUGAUGGAAAAGCAUUGCCAAAAUUUGGAACUAAUAAAACCAAAAAAAGUAAUAUCGAUAUCUAACCCAUAUAAUUGGAAUCUUGACAAAUUAGUUGAAAUAUUAAAUGAAAAACUAGUAGAAUAAUAGUUGAAACACAUGAACCAAAUGUGGAGAAAGUUUAACCGAAUUUUGAAACUUAUCUAACGAAAAAUAAAUUUAAUUGGAAUUUAACCCAAAAUAUUAGUGUUUAACGAGUUUAGUGGGAAUAUUAAACAUAAAACUAGUGGAUCGGAAAAUGGAGAUAAGCAAACCAAUUAGUGAGAAAGUUGAAUCAAAAUUAGGUAUAUGUGAAAUUAACUUGGAAUGUCACCUAAUAUAUUGAUAUUUAACCAAAAGAAUCGAGACAUGCUCAUUUUAAUUUUUUUAAACUUUUGUUGCAAUUAAAAAUAAUUUUUUCACUUAAAUAUUGUUUGUGUUAAAUAUUUACAAAAUUUCCUUAAUUUUUCCUGUUUCAUUUUAUUUUUUCUACAUUAAAAAUAAUUUUUUAAAAAUUAUUAAAUGAACAACCGGUAAAAUACCGGUUGUUCAAGUUUCCUUUUUACUGUUGAAGGGGCUGUAUUUUAUACAGCACUGUACUAUAGGAAGACUCAACUUAUUGACAUCUUCUCAUAUAACCUUCGAUCAAGUCGAUUCUGACCUGACGACUAAUUGGUACAUCACCGUUGUUCUCUAUACUCGCAUGCAUCGGAUCACAAAUCUCACUCCAAUUGUCGUCUUUCUUCGCCGUUUUAGCGCAUACUUCUUGAAUUUCCCGCAUUUCGUUCCCUCCUGUUACAAGUCUCCGGUCAGGUCAGUGAUUGAAUUUCCCGCAUCUCUAUCCCUCCCGUUUUCUCGCGUCGUUUCACUUCAAUUUCUCGUGUCUCCUUUCAGUUUAAGUGAUUGAAUCAAUUUUAUCGCAGUCAUAAGAGAAAUUAAGUAAUGCUCUUGGAUUUAAAAUUUUUUUGCUUUCGACUUUAGAUCUCGAAAGUCAAACUCUGCUACGAAUCCAUAGAUUCUCAAUGCUCAUAAUCUUAUUUGUGUUUGACCAGGUAACUGGAUCGUGAAAUUCGUCGUUUUGUAUCAAUUCAAGCUUUCGCGAGCUCAUGGAAUCACCUGGUGAGUUGUGGUGAAACGUUAUCGUUUCAAUUUUCGCUUAAUUCUUUAUUGCAUAUUUUUUUCUCUAAUGUUUCAGUUUAAUUUAGAAAAGAAAGAGGCCCCAAAAAGAGAGAGAGAGAGAGACUCUACCAUACUCAAUUCCUUGCUCAUUCUGAUUUGGCCUGAAUGUUGGCAUUGACUAUUAUUUGUUUUCAUUUCGAUUUAAUUCUCAUUUAGACAGUCUUUACUAACGGUCAAUAAUAGUUUAAGGAAAAUGAUCAUAGGGAUUCUGCAAUAAUCUUUCUGCAUUGUUCAAGUUAGUAGACAAUGAAUAGGAUGUUUAUGUUUACCUCAUUUUGAACCCUGAGGGCUUCGUUGAGUAGUUGAUUCAACAUAUCCAGCAACGGUUGAUGUGAGAACAGAAUGCCACUUAGAUAGGCUUAAACUGAUUUUGGAGGUUUGUAUUGGUUCUAUUGUACGUCUUGCUUACAAAUUUUUAAUUUUUAAUUUUGUAUAAUAUGCUCUUUGUUGGUAAAUCUCAUUUGACUUAGAAGAGAUAGUUUUAUCCCAACAGUGGGAUAAAUCAUUGAGAUGCAUGGCAGUGUGAAUAUAGUAGACAAAAUCAUUGAGACACAUGGUGGUGUGAACAUAGUAAACUUUGUCAAACACAGCUAAGAUAAACAAAUUGUUUCAUUAGCCUUUACCUUAUCUGCUGUGAUGAUUCAAAUUAAUGCUGUUUGGUAGGUUGCAAAAAACGAAAUGAGCUGUCUGUUCGUAUUAUUUAGUCAGAUCUAUUGCAAUAAGUUGAAGUUCAUUGUCACAUGGGUUGGGAGUAGCGUGGGCUGUGAGUAGUAGAAUGGAUUUAUGGAGUUGAUACAAGUGCCCAUAAUCUAUCAUGUCAUUCUAGGAUUAAAUGGAUUGCACAUUACUGUAAAGAUGGAGGUUAAAUUUAUAUAAUUCGGAUUGAUUGUAAAAUGGGAGGCAGAGAUGAGUUAGAAAAAGAAUGACCUGUGUCCUUUUUGAGCUGUUUCUAAAUCUCCCUGGUGUGCUUCAUGCUUAACACGUGUCUUUCCAAAUAAUUUUGCUUAACCUGUGCUUGUCUACUUCUUGUGCUAUUCUGUGCCUGGUCCUGAGCUGUGUUGGUAGAUUGACAUAAUUUUGCUCUGCUAAAUGUAUAACUUAUUAAUCAGAGUCCUGUUAUUAUGGUUUGACACUACUGACAUAUUGUGUUGGUAUUUAUUUGUACUUCCCUUGGUUGAAUUAUUUGCUGUCUCCAUGCAAUUCGAUAUGGUGCUACUUGGUUUUUGAUCAUCCAUGACGCUAUAUAUAUGUAAAGGAUGAAUUGAUUGUUUUGGCUUGUAUUCUCACAUUUUAUGAUUGAUCGAUGGAAAGGUUUUCAUGCAUUAAAUUCAACCUCACAAGCGUAAGAUUGACAGAUUGUGGGCAAAUUUUCAGGAAAAGAAACUAGACUUCAUGGAAGCAAUGAAGCUUGAAAUUGAACGUCUGCAGCUGAAUCUUUCUGCAGCUGAAAGGGAUAGAACUUUAUUGUCAAUUGGAACUGAUCCUGCCUCUAUAAAUCCAAAUGUAUUGCUUGAUGAAUCUUACAUGGGAAGACUGUGUCGAGUAGCAAACACUCUUGCAUUACUUGGCCAAGCUUCCCUAGAAGAGAAAAUUGUUGGUGCAAUUGGCCUUGAGAAUAGUGGUGAUAGUGUUUUAGACUUCUGGAAUAUUACUAGAAUCGGAGAGAGUUGUUCUGGUGGUGGGUGCGAGGUUUGUGCAGAAACUAAGGUGCCUGCUCUUGCUUCCUCAACUGCAACAUCUGUUGGAUCUUCACAAUCCCCUUUGUUGUGUUCUCAAUGUGAAAGAAAAGUUUGCAAAGUUUGUUGUGCAGGAAGAGGAGCUCUACUGUUUUCAAAUUAUAAAUCAAGGGAUGUGACCAACUACAAUGGCUUCUCAAGUCAGAGUGGAUCAAGCCAUGGAAGCCAAGUUGAUGUAGCUACCAGUCGUUCACUAACACUGGAUGGCGUUAUCUGUAAACACUGUUGCCAUGAGAUGGUGCUUGAUGCAUUGAUGUUGGACUAUGUUAGGGUCUUGAUUAGGUUGCGAAGAAGUUCCUGUGCAGACAACGCAGCAUACAAUGCUUUGAAUGAGGUUGUUGGAUCCUGCUUAAAGGAUAGUCUUUCUGAGAGGAUUCAGUCUUCCGAU